UAAUUAAAGAGAAAGAAUUAAGUGAUGUUGAUAUAUUUAAUUGGAUCGGUGUGCUCAAACCGGUUUGUGCGAAAUGACAAUAUGGUUAAUGUCCUUCGCAAAAUCAUAACACGGCGAAGUAUUCUAUUAAUAUAUUGUAUCUUGGUGGAAUAACGACAUAUACAUGUCGAAUCCAUUAAUUUAAUUAUUUUAAAACAAUGGAACUAAAGUCUAAACGGUAGCAACAGAACUAUAUCUACAUAUCACAUGGAUUACAUUGAAAUCAAAUAACAACCAUUUUAAAUUAACAAAUCCAGCACAAAAUAUUUACAAUAUCUAAAAGGUGCAAGGUAUUUGAUGGGCUUAAGGAAUAUCAACCGAAUACUUCAUCCAAAUUCAAUUUCCACAAUGAUAAAAUGAAUUAAAAGAUUGAUACAGUAAAUAAUAAUAAAACAAUUUUCACUUUCUAAACUUCAUCAAAUUAAAAUAAAACAAUAAAUUGAGAAGAAAAAAAAAGUUAAUGGGUGUCUUUCUCCUAGACGUUGUUCCUGCAUUUUCGUACUCUCCUUUUCGAAUAAUCAACAUCAUUUGCUUAAAAUUUGAUUUAAUAACCUAAUCGAACUAAUAAAAAUUAAUUAUGAAACUAUUUGAAAAUAUAUAUAAGCAAAUAAACAACUUAAGGAAUACAUAUUAAAUAUCCAACUUUAAGCAAUGCGAAAUAAAAUGAAUCGCAUCACAGACACAAGCAUGCUUAUAUCAUUCCUACGAUAUUUACAGCAUAAGGUACACAUCAAUGAACCUAAUUUAUUAUAUCCAACCUAUUAUGACACUUAAAUAUUUAAACAAUAAUUCCAUGUAAAUAUAAAAUAAAAGGAUCAGUAAAACAAAAUAAGCAAAAGAAUGUUGGUUUGACUUUUCAAACAUUUUUAAAAAACAUAAACCCAAAUUCACUUUAGAAAAACACAUAAACUCAGUGACAUAAUAAUUUGUUUAAAGCAUAAAAGAGAAAGGAAGUGAACGAUCAACCAGAGCAAAACAGAGUGCGAAGGCAGAAGAUGGCGGUGCAAAGGAGCUUUACACCGACAAUGAGGAGUUACUCUGAAGGUUGUUUGAUUAAGACUUGGGAGUCGCCGACGGUUUGGAUGAAGGAGGUUGUCGUUGGAGUUCGGCUUGUGAGUUGCGAAUGUGGCUUUAAGUCUUCACGCCAUGAAUAGUGAAGUUCAUGUGUUGUUUAUGGUGAAAGUGAAAACAUGUGGUUAUUGUUGUGGCUACAAGGAGAAUGCGGCGAUCGGAAAUGGAGUAAGUGGUUGUGUCGUUGAGUUGUGGUGGUACGGCGGAGAAAUUAUGAUGUAGACGGUGGUUUCCGGAAGAUUAUAGAUCCGGAGGUGGGUAUGGGUUUUUAUGGUUAGUGGCGGAUGGAAAACACAGUGGAAGAAAUGGGGAGGUUUUGCCGGCGAAUAUUGGCGGUGACGGAGGAAUGGAGAAGGUGCGGCGGAUGCGCGUUGAAGGGAGAAUGUGGGUUGUCGUUGGGUUUGUCCAUGGCGGUGGCGGUGGAGUAAGGUGAGAGCGUUUGUGGUCCGCGGAGGAAGAAGAUGAACAGUCCUUUUUUAGUGGACUCCGCUGCCUUUUUCUUAAUGGAGCCUCUUGACCUUUUAUUUCUUUUCUGCAUUUUUCAGCUAGCUCCUCCCUCUCUUGACGUGUCAUCCUUUAAGUGGAUGGCCUUAUCUUUAUUUCCAGCUUUUCUCUUCUUGUUUUUUUGGCCCGUUAGAAUCAUGGCGUUGGAUAACCGCGUGGCACUUUCUCAUUGAAUGGAGAUAAAAUACCUUUGUUGGAGACAGGCUGGCCACGUUCCCCUUCAAUACCAAUCCUAAAACCAAUUUUGUUUUCCCCUUUCAUUGGGAGUUGGACGCGUGGUUGAGGAAUGGGCUCGAAGGAGAAUCCAAUGCAGAUGCUUCCAUCACCCUUUGUUAUUUUGAAUAGCAAUUAAAAUAUAAAAUAAAAUUAACCACUUAAAAUAAAGUCAAGUUAAUCACCCAAUUAAUUCUAAUUAAUUCAAAUGACUAUUUUGGCUAAGAGAUAAAAAUAAAUGGAUCAAUGAUGAAUAAAAGUCAGGCAUAAAAUUUACUCAAAAAAUUAAAUCGGAUGCACUAAAAUGAUCAGCACGAAACAUACUUAUUGGAAAAAUACAGCGUUUCUUUUAAUUUUGAAAUAAAUUUUCACCGGUUAAAAGGCUCAAAUGGAUUAAAAUGCAGCUGAAAAAGUCAUUGAAAAAUAUAACGAGCACACCAGGCUGAACUGCGCGAAGUGUAGAUUAAUAAUACUGGCGUCUGUAAGCUUAAUUUCGAAACUUUUUACCCGCUGAUUUUGCACGUACUUGAGAAGUGAUUUAACCAAUUUAUCUGUGUAGCGGGGUAUUCGUUACCUUUAGAUUUAUUGACUAAAUAAAAAGUAAAUCAUACAAUUCGAGUCGCCACCGCACUUCUAUUUAUCCAAAGGAAAGGUUAGAAAGCGAACAAAAACUGAGAAGUUUAUCGAAUCAAAAACUAAUAAAAAUGUCAGAGAUCGGGGUAAGGGGGUUGGUUAUGCAAUGGGUAGGUUUUAAGCACCCAAAACAUCCUAGGUACUCCUAGGGAGCCCUUUUCACAAUUUGUUGUAAGGUAGGUUGGUAUUUGGAAAAAAUUAUUUGUACAAACAUGAUUGGGGAGAUGAGAGAAGAAUGUACAAAUUAUUUACAAUUUUGUGUUUGAAUGGAUAAACCCAUUGCCUACGUACUAUCUUAAAAAAGGAUUAGGAUCAAAACCUCGUAGUUCGGGAUAAAAAUCUCAAAACAAGUUGGUGAAUUGAUUGGUCCAAAAGCCUCAAGGUCUUUUGUUAUCCAAGGGAGAAAACUCGACCUAAAACCACAAAUCCACCAUGUGAGGAUAGCUUCAACAUGCUAGUGAGGGGUUAACCCUAUAAUAAGCAUGGAAGACUCAUUGUCCAUCACUAAGGAUAUAGGUGAGUAUUAUAUUAACCUCAAGGAUAACUCAAACCUAAUAGCUAAUGGUUAUGAAAAGUUUUGAUAAGAAGUGGCCAUUGAAACCACAAAACAUUUGAAUGAGUUGUAUUUACCAAUGAAAAGUAUUUACAAAAUAUGGUCAAAGUUGACUUAAGGGUUCAAUUCAAAAUAAGUGUUAUGAAAGGAAAGUUUGAAAAUCAAAAGCAUAAUGCUUAGGUUUCUAAUGUUUGAAAACAAAUGCUAAUGUUUGCACAAAAGUUUUGGUUUGGGUUAGAGUGGAGGGAAGAAGAAGAAUGGCUAAGUCCUAAACAUACAAAGAUGAAGGAAAAGAAAUAAGACCACAAAUGGAGUUUUCUUCUUGAGAUCAUAGUGAUGAUCCAAGUAGCUCCCAUCCUUUGGAGUAAGCAAGCAAAUAAGCAAAUACUCAAGCAAUCAAUCAAUCAAGCAAGCUCUUAGGAAUCUUCUAAUGGCUCUUGUAUCUCUUACUUUAGAUGCACAUGACAACGGAUCUUCAAUUUGGCUCAAAUGGGAAUCCCUAGCAAAAGAACACACACAUCAAAAAAUUCCACAAAACAAACAAAGAAUGGACAAGAGUGAGUUUAGAGAUUAGGUCAUUCUAAUUCAUCUUCAACAUUAAGUCCUUUUUACUCCAUUUUUGCAUAGGGAAUGUCCUAAAGUCUAAGUCCUUUUGUCCAUUUGAAUUUGGUUCACAACAAUCAAAACAAAACACAAGCACAAUAGUAUAUACACAAUUAUGUGCUCAAGUGAGCAAAAGGCAAAUUGCAUUAACAUAAACAUGUGCUCAAAUGAGCAAAGGGCAAAAGCAAAAGUGAGCAAAAGGCAAAUUGCAUUAACAUAAACAUGUGCUCAAAUGAGCAAAGGGCAAAAGCAAAUGAAUAAUAUGUACAAGAAUAUUAAAUUGCAUUAAUGUAAAGUGCAAGAAUUAAAUGUUAAUGGUUAAUUGUUAGUGUUAGUGUGCCAUAAGGCAAUUUAGCGCUAUGUUAAGCAAUCGUAAGUGGACUAAUGUAGUAGUCACACCUAUCUGAGGCCGGUCAAUAAAAAUAUAGGCAAUAAACACAAGUUAGAGAUCUUGAUUAGUGAAUCAAGCUUCUACAACUUGCCAUGCCAAAAGAAAAGAAGGAUGAUCUUGUAUUGAUUUAGGUUUUCAUGCUUGAUUAGGAAGUAACCUAUCCUUAAUGCAAACCCAUUCACUUGAUCUUUGGAUCAAGAUGAAUUAGAUUUGAAUCAAGGAAGGUUAAAUCUUCCAUACAUCAAGGCUAACCAUCAAUCUUUAACUCAUUGAUCAAAAAGAAAAAGAUGAAGAAGAAGAUGGAUAAGAAUGUACAUUAAUGGAAUUCAAAUGAAGUAAGAAAAUUGGAUUGACCAAAGACAAAUGGAAUCAAGGUCAAACACUAGUAAACAAAAGCAAAAUGAAACUUAGAAGUUAAGAAACAAAUAAAAUAUUUUUGGUAUUUUUCAAAAUUGAAAUAAUACUUGAAUUAAAAUAAACAAUUAAAGGUCAAACUUCAAAUCCAUCUCAAAUCAACUUUGAAAAGUCCAAAUGGAUCAUCCUAAGUGCAACAAGGUCAAACAAAGUUUGACAAAAAAAAUUCAGCAUUUUUAGAAACCAGAAACUAUUUUUAAUCAAUUAAAAUGAUAAAAAAUAACCUAAUUGAAUUAAAAUCUCAAAUCAAUUAAUAAAUGGAUGAGAAUAUUUUUCAUAGAUCCAUCAUCAUUCAAAGAGGUUGAGAAAAUAUUUUUGUAUUUUUUGGAUAUUGAAAACUAAUUAAAAUGAAUUAAAAAUAACUAGAAAAGAGAAAAUUCAUAAAAAAUAUCAAAUAAUAAAAUAAAAAAUAUUAAAAAUCAUUUUUAGAAACUAGAAAUUAAAAGAGAAAUAGUGUCAUUGGUCUCAUAUUUUUUGGAAUUAAAAUGAGAGAGAUAUGAUUUUUUGAAAUAAAAUGAACUAAAAAAAAUAAAAUGGAUUAAAUCAGAAAAUAGGAAAAAACACACGCGUUGGAUUCAAUUCGUUAAAUGAUCUGGCAGAUCAAACGGCUGUGGCAUGCGUGCGCAUCAUGGACCUAAGUCAACUGAGCAACAUAAACUUUUAAAUAAAGUCAUAAGAUCCAAGAGCCUUGAUUCAAUCUGGGAAUCAUCAUCAACGGCCUGGACCAAAACUGGAAAACGGACGGUGGUGUAUACCACCAUCUUCUCCGGCGAGACCAGAGAUUCCGGCCAAAGUUGCAGAGAAAAAUUCUUAACCAAAUGAAGCGAUCCUCAUAUCAUUGGAAAGCUAGGGUGAUGUACAUCACCCCUGUACCAUUAGUUUCUCCUCUAGAUCCUCAUAGAGAGAGAAAUCAGAGAGAGAAAAUCAUGGUGUUCAAUCUGAACUUCAUGGAUUUGCAAAAUUAAAAGCACAAUUCGAAUGCCUCUGAUGAGAGGACUUCAGCCAAGCAAAGAAACACAAGAAACAAGCAAUAAUUAGGGAGUUUCGAAGAAGAAAAGUUUGAACAUCCACCUCUGAAAUAUGGAUCUGGAAAGCACAAUUCCUCUUAGCUACUGAUUGCAGUGUGAUCUAGAGAUGAAGAUGAAGCAAGGCCAAGGAAUUUUGAGUCUAAUAAUCAACCAAUGAAGUUGAAAAUCAGAUCUGAAAUUUUGAAAUGAAAGAGUGAAUUCCUUUAGGUAUGGCUAUGGAGGGAGUUUUGCAGCAUAACAGGUGCCUUCAGGUUAUUGAAUUAUGAAGCCUAGCACUCUUAUUUAUAGCAAUUGGCAAAGGCAAGCAUGAAAGUUUCAUGUGCAUGAAUGAAGAGGGCCUCCAUGCAUGGGCCUGUACAGGCGCAUGGAGGGCCCAAAUCCUAUUGGUUUAGCAAGCUUAACAUCAACAAAUGAGUUUUGGACUUGCAGAUGAAGUGUAAUUGGCUUAUGCAAUAAGUUUUCAAGUAGUUUCCAAAAAUGCACCAAAAUGUUCUCUUCUUCGAAAAUGCCUUUUUCCAAAAAGAAAACAUGGCCUUAUGGGUAAUGGUUGGAAAGCUCUUGACAUGAGGAUCAAUUGUUAUGUUGAGAAAAACUUCAUUUGGAAUUGGGAAAUUAGUGAAAAUUGGUCAUAAAGUGCAAGGUGCAAAACAUGUGUAUGUGAAAAUUUCCAAAAUGGGCCAACUUCAAGCCCUUCUAUUUCAAUGAUGAAAGCUCCAAAUGACAACACCUUCAAUAUAAAAGUUGUAGAUAUUUCCAAGACAAUCAAGGUUGACUCAAAUUGUGCAUCAUUUGGAUUUUUGAUGAGGAAGUUAUGGGCACUUGAAGUUAGACCUUUUCACAUUUCAAUGCCUUUGGUCCAAAGUGACCUAUAAUGUUUUGCAUUAUCACAUGUAUUUAUUUUAGGAUUAUGAAACUUUGGUCAACAUAACAAAUGAAGUAUACAUCUUAAACUUUCCAAUUCAUUUGAUCCCACCUCAAUAUCAUGAAAAAUGAAUGAGUUAUGUUCUUGGGAAGUUGACCCAAAAUUAGGGUUUCAGUCAAAAUGACCUAUAAUGUUUUGAAAUGGAUGAUGACCUUCCAAGCUUCAAAUAAAUUUUUGAUGAAAAUGAAAGUUGUUUAUAUGGUUCUUAAUAACAUUUUUUCUCUUGGAGUCAUCUCCAUUUGACAAGCACAUUAAAAUUUAGGUCUCAGUGUACUUCAAAAUAGUCAGAUGAAUUAACUGAUUAACUUCUCAAGUCCAAACCUCAUAUCUUGAUGAAUUGAUGAUUAAAGACACUCAAAUAAGCUCAAAUAUGCAUGAAAUGAUGAAUUAAAGGACUUCCCUUGAUUGUAUUUGAUCAUGGGUUGAGGUUGCUUCAUGGGCAAGGCACAGUUGAUGCACAUAUGAAUUAGGGUUUCCUUGGGAAACAAUCCUCAAACCCCUUCGUUUGCUUUGAUCAAAUUGAUAAAUUGAGAUACUUGUGAGGCAUAUAUGAUGGAUGAGAACCUUGUGAACCAUUAUCAUCCUUGCUUUCACCUUCACCUGGCCAUAUCAAUGAGCAUAGGGUCUCCUAGGAGCCUUGGAUCUUAUGAUUGCUCAAGCUACAAAACAAACAAAGUUAGUGACAUAUUUUUGUGCUUUUGGUUAGUAAACAAAAUAAGAAAAGCAAUAAUAUACAAUUCAAGCAUGCUUGGAUGACAUAUUUUUGUGCUUUUGGUUAGUAAACAAAAUAAGAAAAGCAAUAAUAUACAAUUCAAGCAUGCUUGGUGGUCUCAAACCAACUCACACAAGUUCCCACCCUAGGGUUAGGAACCAAGAUGCUAUGAUCCUUGAGGCAAAUGCAAAUGCAAUGAUAUGAUGCCAUGAGGGAUCUUAGGGUCAAAAUUAGGGUCGUACAGAUGUCCCUAUUUAAGGUCAUUCUAGCCAGAGAUGUGAAGAUUAAAAUCUUCGUCUCGACGAGGUAGAAUGGGCUUAAAUAAUAUCAAAGAGACGAAUUUUGGUCCCUAAGAGAUCUCAUGAUGCAAAUGUAUGUAUGCAAGAGGUAAUACUUUGCGGGGAUAUAUGUCCACAAAGGAAAAGAGAUCCAGAGAAACUGAAAAUCCAUAUGAGUAAUACACUCAUAAAUGGGACAGAGACUCUAGGGGGAUAAAGGGAAAUAGAAUGUGUGAGCAGGUCACGACUUGAAACUUGCUGGGAGACACGAAGGGAUUCCAUAAAAAUAAAUAAAUGGAAAGACUCGAUUUGACGCAACGAUGCAUGUAUUGGGGAAUAUGCCAAUACAGCAAAACUUUCGGCAAAGGAUACUUCGGAUAGAAAUCCGGACUGAGGCUAGGAAAAUUCAUCAAGGGACUCCGAUGGGGAAUGUCCCAAGAGGACUCAACUGAGGAAAAAGCAACUGAGGUAUUACCUGUUACUGGGUAAUAAGCUCAAAGAGACAUGUGAUCAAACACCGGUAUAAGGGUGAGAAAACAAACAUGCUCGGGGAUAAUGAAUAUCUAAGACCGGUAUAAGGGUGAGAGAUAUCAAUCAUCCAAAAUCAUCUGAGGAAGAUAGAAAAAGGUAUAUUUCAACUCAGGAAAAUCUGACUCCACAAGGGACAACAAGUCAUAAUAGGGAGCAGAAAGGAAAGAGCACCAGGGAUACCAGUUACUAGGCAUAUAAUAGGUGCCCAACCAAGCGUCAAUUGGGGAAUAUUCCCAAAACACUCAUCAUCCGAAAGGAGGGCUGAAAAAAGAAAACUCGAUUACAGGAUGGACAUUCGAUUCCAUAAGGAAAUACGAAUCUUACUCAAUUGGGGAAGAAAAAGACUUCGACUGAAGAGCGCAUGAGAUAUAUUAUCUAUUACCGUCAGAAUGUAGAUAAAAUACUCGCAUGGAAGAUUAUCCACAACCGGUUAUUGGGUUAAUAGAGGAUAAGUCAACCGAAAAGAAAUGACAUCGGGAUACCGAAUACCAUAUAUAAAAUGAUGAUCAAUCAAAGGGGAGAAACGAUCAUCACGAACAAAAAGAGGUGAAUGAAAGAUGACUCGCCGGGGAUACAUUGUUUGAUCAGAGCAAUUAUCCAAGAGAUAUAUCAUUGGUUACUGGGAGAUGUACUCAAAAGGUGGAGGAAUAUCGAUACCGAAUAUUGGAUAAAGAUAACCAACGAAGAGGGGAUUACAUCUACCGGUUACUGGGUAGAAAACCACAGAAGAGUAACCGUCAUCGGUUAGGAUGAACAAAAUCAAGGUUAACUAUUCAAGGGGAUAAGAUGGGGUUUAAAACUACCGGUAUGAGGAUAGAAAACCACAAAGAUAGGACUUAUGACUACCGGUUGCUGGGUAGAAGGCCACAUAAUUUCGUCGGGGAAAAGAUGGAUAAUUACUAGUUACUGGGCAAUCAUUCAUCUAAACCACGGGGAAAUGCGGGGGAAAUAACAAGAGGAGUCAAAUUAGGAACGAACUAGAGAGACACAAUGAAACAAAACUCAACCCUAUGAGGAUAUAACUCAGGGGAUAAAUUCCAUCCCAGUACAUAUUUUAGGGGGAAACUGAAAUAACAAUCAUCCACGAGGACAUAACUCAGUGGGGAAUGUGGAAGAAAGGGUAGACACUUUCUGCCUAUGGGGCUGACUCUAUAUGGAGAGAUCAGACACCAACAUUUACUUGGGGACAUAUAUACCACCAACUAGCAGGAGAUAACAAACAAAGAUAUAUGGCAAAGGAUGCAACAUGAAUAUCUGAAUGUUAUAAUUAUGCAUGUAUAUGUGUGGUUUAUGUAUGAUGAAUGCUGACAAACAGCCAUUUCUAACACAACCAGACCCAGGGAUCAAAUGGACAAACAUCUGGUACUACAUCUCGAAAGAGAAAGCCAGGUCCACCGGGGAAACUGCCAAUCUGACGGGGGCAAAAAAUACCAGGAAACAGUGAUCUCUGUAGGGGAAAGAGAAACAGUCACUCCGCUGGGAAGGAAUCAACACAUCUUCCUCAGAAAUUCCAACGCCACUCUGAAAUCAGACAAAGUCUUGGCUGGGGAACUGAACAUGGAUACGAUCCGUCGUGGAAGCAAAUGUAUUGGGGAAAUUAUCCAGGGGAAGGAUGAACCUCUGUGGGGAACAACCACCGAUCAAAAAGUUUUAAAACUAACUCAAAUCCUUGCACUGCUGGAUAAAUCAUCUCUGCCGAGGAGAAGAGACACACUACUCCACUGGGGAUGGAAAGAUAAAUAUUUACGUCACUCGCUCUGCUUAGGAGGAAACAACAGACAGGUUCUAGUGAAACACUGCUGAGGACUGACCAGGAACUACCUGUAGGUGAUCAGUUGGAGAUAUCCUGCUUGGUGACCAAACUGAGGAGCUGAAAUGGGAUCAACCCUGUUGAGGAUGAACAAAGUCAAACCUGCUGGAUAUUCAUGUAGGAGAAUCCGCGGGGGAAGCUACAAAUCAAAUUGUUGAGAAUUCCACUCAUGUUGGGGAUUUCCUACUCACUUUGCGGGAGAAUUCCAAUCUGAAUGAGGGAAUACCAACUCCCUCGAAAAGAUAGCAUAUCAAUUUAUCAAUUUAUAAGGGAUUUUAGGUCUAUCCACCCAAGGGAUGACAACCAUAUAAUUGAUAACAUAGAUGCUAGAUCCAGCCUCGCUGAGGAGUUAUAAGAUUAAGGCCAAACUCUCUGGGGAUUUUGUGGGAUGUUAGAGAUGUACUCCUCCCAACAAAAUGGGACCAAGGCUCCAGACUCUCUGGUGAACUUGGCGAUGCUUAACUUUCUUUUGCGCUUGCGGAGGAGACAAUCUGAAAGAUAAUGAAGAGGAUACAAGUAUGCUGUGAAUAUGAACAAAUGUCUUACCCUUUUGGAGAUCAUACUAUCCUUGGGAGAGCACUGAAGAUGUUCCAAUUAUCCUUUCAGUCAUUGUGAAUGUUCACUUUGUUUAAAACAGUUUAUGAUUUUUUUUUAAAACAAUGAUAUUUAUCAAUUAAAAUAUGCAAUAUUUGUUGAACAGAAACAAAUAAGACUGCAAAGAAUUAUAUAAAGGCUCAAAUUUAGUUGAUAGAAUGGUAGUCUAAAAAUGGCAAGACUCCAAGGAUCUUUACAAAUUUGAAAUUGGUGAUAUAUAUUGGAAAAGGGCUACAUUGAACAUAAUGACCAUUUCUCCACCAACUCCGAGUCCAAUGUAUUUGAAGCUUCAGUUGACAAUGACUGAGCGAAAUUCUCUGACAGAAGACAACUUGUAGAACAAAGUCUUGUCAGGAUGCAGUUACUUGCCAAAUCCCGAAUUUUUGCCUAGAAUGCCCCAAGGUGAGGUACUCAAUCUAGCGGGAUACAUAUUCAUUUUUUAUGUCUCUAACUUUUACCUGGACCGUCCUUUCAGGUUUUCAAUCCACCGAGACACUCAUUUUUGCCUAAGCCGCCCUUUCGGGUUUUCAACUUAGCGAGCUAUUCUAUUUUUAUUUUUAGGCGAAGUAUUUCUUGACUGUAUCUGAAUUCACAGGAUGAUUGAAAUCCUCCUCAUCCAUAGUUGUAAGUAUCAAUGCACCGCCUGAAAAGGCUCUCUUGACAACAUAUGGACCUUCAUAGUUUGGAGUCCACUUGCCCCUGGAAUCGGGCGCGAAAGACUAAACUUUCUUGAGCACAAGGUCACCUUCUCGAAACACACGAGGUUUGACCUUCUUAUCAAAGGCUUUAUUCAUCCUUUGCUGAUACAACUGACCAUGGCACAUGGCAGUCAAUCUCUUCUCUUCAAUUAAAUUCAGCUGGUCAUAACGACUCUAAACCCAUUCAGCCUCGAUCAACUUGGCUUCCAUCAAGACUCUCAUUGACGGGAUCUCCACCUCUACUAGGAGCACAACCUCCAUGCCAUAUACAAGGGAGAAAGGGGUUGCCCCUGUUGAAGUGCGAACAGAUGUACGAUAUCCAUGCAAAGCAAAUGGCAGCAUCUCAUGCCAAUCUUUGUAUGUAACAACCAUACAUAUACAAGGGAGAAAGGGGUUGCCCCUGUUGAAGUGCGAACAGAUGUACGAUAUCCAUGCAAAGCAAAUGGCAGCAUCUCAUGCCAAUCUUUGUAUGUAACAACCAUCUUCUGGAUAAUCUUCUUCAUGUUCUUAUUAGAAGCUUCAACAACCCCAUUCAUCUUGGGUCUAUAUGGAAAAGAAUUAUGAUGUGCAAUCUUGAACUCACUACACAGCUCUUUCAUCAUCUUGUUGUUCAAGUUAGAUCCAUUAUCAGUAAUGAUCUUAUUUGGCACACCAUAAUGGCAUAUGAGUUGGUUCUUGAUAAACUUUACAACCACCUGCCUGGUCACGUUUACAUAUGACGCCGCUUCAACCCAUUUGGUGAAGUAAUCAAUUGCUACGAGAAUAAAUUUGUGCCUGUUUGGAUGCUUUCGGGUCUAUCAUGCCAAUCAUAUCAAUUCCCCGCAUGGAGAAAGGCCAUGGUGAUGAAAUCACAUUCAGAAGUGUCGGGGGAAUAUGAAUCUUAUAUGCAUAAAUCUUAAACUUAUGGCAUUUCUUCACAUACUUGCAGCAGUCAGACUCUAUUGUCAGCCAAUAGUAGCCUGCUCUCAAAAUCUUCCUUACCAUGGCAUGUCCAUUGGAAUGAGUUACAAAUGAACCCUCAUGGACUUCAGUCAUCAAUAUGUCUGCUUCGUGUCUAUCCAUGUAUCUGAGCAAAACCAUAUCAAAAUUUCUCUUAUGAAACACAUCGUCAUUGAGGUAGAAACUGCCAGAUAAUCUCCUCAAAGUCUUCUUAUCUUUAACAGAUGCCCCAGGCGGGUAAAUCUGACUCUGAAGAAAACACUUUAUAUCAUAAUACCAUGGCUUAUCAUCUUUCACUUCUUCUACUGCAAAUACAUGAGCUGGUCUAUCCAAGCGCAUCAUAGUGAUAUUAGGAACCUCAUUCGAAAGUCUCACCACAAUCAUAGAAGCAAGUGUAGCUAGUGCAUCUGCCAUCCGAUUCGCAUGUCGAGGAAUAUGAAGGAAUUCAACCUCAGUAAAAAAAGUUGAAAUCCUCCUCGCAUAAUCUCUGUAUGGGAUGAGGCAAGGCUGAUUUGUCUCCCAUUCACCCUUAAUCUGAUUAACAACAAGGGCCGAAUCGCUAUAAACAUCAAGAUGCUUGAUCCUAAGAUCAAUACACUCUUCCAAACCCAUAAUACAGGCAUCAUACUCUACCAUAUUAUUCGUGCAUUUGAAAGUUAGCCUUGCUGUAAAAGGAAAAUGUGUGCCCUGAGGAGUAAUAAUCACUACCCCAAUACCAUUUCCAUAUUGAUUUACAGCGCCACCAAACACCAUGCUCCAUCGAGAACCAGGCUUUGGUCCUUCAUCGAGCGUAGGCUCAUCGCAAUCUUUCAUUUUCAAAUACAGAAUCUCCUCGUCUGGGAAGUCGUACUGAACUGAAUGAUAAUCCUCAAUUGGUUGAUGUGCCAAGUGGUCAGCCAAGAUACUACCUUUAAUAGCCUUCUGAGCCCGAUACUCAAUAUCAUACUCAGACAACAACAUCUGCCAACGGGCAAUCCUCCCAGUUAAAGCAGGCUUCUCAAAGACAUACUUGAUUGGAUCUAUUUUGGAUAUCAACCAAGUCGUAUGAUUCAACAUAUACUGGCGUAAGCGCUUAGCAGCCCAAGCCAAAGCACAACAUGUCUUCUCAAGCAUCGAGUAUCGAGACUCACAAUCAGUGAACUAAGUCGUAUGAUUCAACAUAUACUGGCGUAAGCGCUUAGCAGCCCAAGCCAAAGCACAACAUGUCUUCUCAAGCAUCGAGUAUCGAGACUCACAAUCAGUGAACUUCUUACUCAGGUAGUAGAUAUCACACUCUUUCUUCCCUGUUUCAUCUUGCUGACCAAGGACACAACCCAUAGAGUCUUCAAGAACUGUCAUAUACAUAAUAAAGGGUCUCCCUUCCACGGGAGGAGAUAGAAUCGGAGGCUCGGAAAAAUACUCUUUAAUACUGUCAAAGGCCUUCUGGCAAUCCUCGGUCCAAUCAUGACGCUGAUCUUUCCGGAGGAGCUUGAAUAUCGGCGCACAUGUGGUAGUCAUAUGGGAUAUAAAUCUGGAAAUAUAACUCAAGCGGCCAAGAAAACCUCGGACUUGUUUCUCAGUUUUGGGCGCAGGCAUCUCUUGUAUUGCUUUGACAUUGGCAGGAUCAACUUCAAUACCUCUUUCCCUGACAAUAAAGCCCAAUAACUUGCCGGAACGGACCCCAAAUGUACACUUGUUCGUAUUCAGGCGAAGCUUAUACUUCCUCAAAUGCUGAAAAAGCUUCAACAAGUGCUCAACAUGUUUAACUUCCGUUCUUGACUUCGCAAUCAUAUCGUCAACAUAUACCUCGAUUUCCUUAUGCAUCAUAUCGUGAAAUAAGGUGGUCAUAGCACGUUGAUACGUGGCUCCGGCGUUCUUCAAACUGAAGGGCAUCACUCGAUAACAGAAUGUUCCCCAAGGUGUGAUGAAUGUUGUCUUCUCCAUAUCCUCGGGUGCCAUUUUAAUCUGGUUAUAUCCGGAAAAUCCGUCCAUAAAUGAGAAGACAUUGAAUAUAGAUGUAUUAUCUACCAACAUAUCAAUAUGUGGUAGAGGGAAAUCAUCUUUUGGACUAGCUUUAUUCAAGUCUCUAUUGUCCACACACAUUCGGACUUUUCCGUCUUUCUUAGGCACGGGCACAAUAUUGGCCACCCAUUGAGGAUAUGUAGAAGUCACCAAAAACCCCGCAUCAAUUUGCUUCUGAACUUCUUCUUUAAUCUUCACUGCCAUGUCAGGAUGAGUUCUUCUGAGCUUCUGCUUCACAGGUACAUACUCAGGCUUCAAAGGCAGGAAAUGUUGCACGAUAUCAGUAUCCAGACCAGGCAUGUCUUCAGAUGACCAGGAAAAGACGUCGAUGUAUUCUCGUAGCAACUCAAUCAACCCCUUCUUCACAAAUUCUUCAAGGAGUGCCCCAAGCUUCACUUCUCGCACACAAUCUUCAAAUCCCAAGUUGACUGUUUCCAGAUUUUCAAGAUGUGGAUGAAUGAUCUUCUCUUCGUGCUCAAGUAGACGGGUAAUCUCGUCAGGAAUCUCUUCAACAUUAUCUUCUUCAGACUCAAAUACAGGGAACUCAAAGUUGGGAGAUGGUGUUGGAUCAUUAUGUUCAAUGAUUUUGGAUAUAAAAGAGAUUUCAGAAUUCAAGCAAGGAAAAUCAUUAUGCAGAUGAAAAGAUUGAUUUUAUUCUAUUUUUAGGGUUUUAUGUGAUCACCAAUUUCAUGCAAAAAAGCAAAACAUGAAAAUAAUUGGAAAAAACAAACAUUUAACAUGAAUUUAUUGAAUGAAAUAUCAUUGUAUUUAUGAGACAACAAUGUCAUCACUCCUCCUUUUGGCAUGGGAGAAGGGUUUUAAACAAAAGGUGAACUUUACGUUGACUUAUGGACAACUGUUGGAACAUCAACAACGACCCAGUUAUUACAGACCCCUCCAGGGAUGACAAAGUUGUCAGAAUCUUCAUCUGCAUCCUCUUCCACAAUAGCAGCGGCUUCUUCGUCUUGGACGGUGUGGAUGAAACCACCACUCUGAAACAGCCCAUGCUUGUUGAAAGUGCCCGAAGAAUACCCUAUGCCAGCCCAGGACUUGUUGUCUUCCAUCUUGAUCAUUUGUCCUAAACCAGUAGUUGUGCCAUGCUCAAUGGCCAACUUAGCAUCAUUGUAGGACGUAAAUGAAGAAGUUCCUUUCUUAGAAGGCUCAGCAAUAGAUAAGGCUUGGAACGGCGUCCCAACCUCAUCCUCAGCAUCUAUAUAAGAAAAGGAAGACAGGUGGCUAACCAAGAGAGCCUUCUCUCCCCCUACCACCACCAGCUUUUUGUUCUUGACAAAUUUCAAUUUCUGGUGUAGGGUGGAUGUCACGGCGCUUGCCUCGUGAAUCCAUGGUCUUCCUAACAGAUAGCUAAAUGAUGGGUGGAUAUCCAUGACCUGAAAAGUGAUCUGGAAAUCACUUGGUCCAAUCUUGACUAGGAGUUCAACCUCUCCAAUCACGGUCUUGCGGGAUCUAUCAAAAGCUUUUACAACCACUUCACUCUACCUCAUGGGAGGCCCCUGGUAUGACAGUCUAGCAAGAGUGGAUUUUGGCAACACAUUCAGUGAUGAUCCAGUGUCUACCAGCACAUUAGACAUGGCAUCAUCCUUAUAACUCAUAGAUAUGUGAAGUGCCAAAUUGUGGUCUCUUCCCUCCUCGGGGAGAUCAGCAUCAUAAAAACUCAAAUUGUUACAAGCAGUAAUGUUUGCAACAAUACUAUCGAAUUAUUCUAUUGUGACAUCGUGAUCUACAUACGCCACAUCCAACAUCUUCUGCAGAGCUUCUCGGUGUGGUUCUGAGUUUAUUAACAAAGAUAGCGCAGAGAUCUUUGAUGGCAUUUGUAGAAGCUGAUCUACAACGUUGUAUUCACUCCUCUUGAUGAGCCUCAGCAUCUCAUCACAAUCCUCUUUUAUCAUGCCAUUCUGGCCAGUAGGGAAAUGAGUUUUUACGGCGGUGGCAGGUUUAUUAGCAUUAAGUGCCAGAUUCAGAGCAACAAGAGAAUUUCAAACCGAACGAACAACACAAUCAGCAACAUCAUCCCUUCUGGUUUCAGCCUGGGGUUUCGGUGGAGCCGAGAAAACGAGACCACUACGGUCAGGCCGCUGACAUCAACAAUAUUAACCACAGAGGUAGAGGGCAAGGGCACCUCCAUCCCAUCUUCCAAUGCCACAACAUUGUAACGAUAGGGGACAGCCUUAUUAGAAGAAUAUGGCACAUGGCCAGCUUGUUUGAUUAUGAGAGAGGGGGAAGCCUUCUGCUUGCUGCCAUUAUAUCGGAUGACAACAGGCUCUAGGAUCCUGAAUACUGGUAAUAUCACAUUAACUUCAUCAUCCCCGUCGCGAUUCUGAAGUAUUUCUAUUACACCUUCAUCCAUCAUUUCUUGGAUGUCUUUUCGGACUUGACGAUACCCCAUCUGAUUGACAGUGCAAACACGGAAUCUGUCAUGGUGAUGCUCAUAAUGACUGUAUUCACACAACAUUCUGUGCAUCUCGACCAAAGAUUGUCGCAUAUGGCUGACAUAUCGGACCUUAUAUUUACCAGGGCAGCCCUGGACCAUGUUGAUAGCAGAUUUCCCAUGCUCGGGCAAUGGGUUCUUCUUGACGUUAGGACCUACGUCCUCGAAACACAAUAUACCGCUCAUAACAAGGUCUUGAACCUUGGUCUUCAGCGGGUAGCAGUUCUCCACAUCAUGUCCGGGAGCGUCGAAAUGAUAAACACAAUGUAGCUCUGGCUUAUACCCCCACUGAGGGUUGGUAGGUAUAGCCGGUGGGUCACGUGGAGUGAUAAGUUUCCUCUCUAUCAAAGAGGGAUAAAGCUCGGCAUAGGUCAUGGGAAUAGGAUCAAAACUGACCCUCUUCCAAUCAUAGCUUGUACUGGUCUGAUUAUUGUUUCGAGGCAGGUAGGCCUACUGUUGAGGACGGUGCUGUUGUUGUUGAUAUUGUUGGUGUUAUUGUUGUUGGUUCUGAUUAUUAUGCUAAUAGUGUUGGUUUUCUCUGAAAAUAGGUGCUAUGUGAGCCACCUGAUGCUGAUUACCGGCGGGACGCACGGUCUUCCUCUUCACAGAGGGUCUUAUGGGUUUAACAUGGGAGGUCACAGCAUGUGCCUCACCAUCUUUCUUCUUUACAAAUGCCCCAUAUUGUUUGGCAGAAGAGCAUUCUUCUCUAGUCAGGAGCCCUUCCCUGACUCCUUCCUCCAAAUGCAUCCCCAUAUUCACCAUCUCGGUGAAGUCAGAAGGAGCGCUGGCAAUCAUCCGCUCAUAAUAGAAUGAGCUCAAGGUCUUCAGGAAGAUCUUGGUCAUCUCUUUCUCUUCCAGCGGAGGCACAAUCUGUGCAGCUAGUUCUCGCCACCUCUGGGCGUACUCCUUGAAAGAUUCCUUGUCAUUCUGGGACAUGGCUCUCAAUUGAUCCCUAUCGGGAGCCAUAUCCACGUUAUAUUUGUACUGCUUGAUGAAAGCUUCACCAAGGUCAUUGAAGGAUCGGAUGUUCGCGUUGUCCAAACCCAUGUACCAUCCCAGGGCGGCACCGGACAGGCUGUCCUGGAAAUAAUGAAUGAGGAGAUGAUCAUUGUCGGUCUGAGUCGACAUCUUCCUCGCAUACAUAACCAAGUGGCUGAGAGGGCAAGUAUUUCCCUUGUACUUUUCAAAGUCAGGUACUUUGAACUUUACAGGGAUCUUGACAUUAGGAACCAGGUAGAGUUCAGCAGCAGACUUGCGAAAGAGGUCCUUCCCUCUGAGAGUUUUGAGUUCCUUACGGAGCUCAAGGAACUGAUCAUUCAUAGCAACCAUCUUUUCAUACACAUCUGGGCCCUCAGACGGCUUAGAGUGGUAAAUGGUGUCGUCUACCCUUGGCAUAAUAUGCACGACCGGAGGUGGAACGGCGAGGACCGGGCAAGAUGCCGGCAGAGAAGCAAACAUGGGGGCAAGACCCUCAGGAACAAAAUUCGCGGGCAUCCCCCAGGGAAACCCGGCUGGCAUAGCAGUUGGCACGAAAUGGGCACUAGCAGCAGACACUAUCGAGGAGGCAAUCUCAGAGAUGACUGUCCUCUAGGGAGGAGUUGAUGGCGUUGGAGACGACUGGCCUUGGGCGGCCAUGAAAGACUCCAUCAGGGCAAUCAAUCUCGCCACUUCCUCCUUGAGUUCUCUGUUCUCUUACUCUAAGUGAUCCAUCAGUCUUGAAGAGUUGGCUUUGGUGUAGCACCGGUGAGUCAGCUUGUCUUCAAAAUAAAUGAAGAACACAGAGUUAGACCAUUGAACAAGAAGCCUGGAGUAAAACCUGCUUAAGCACAUGAUGCAUGCGAUGCUUGUGCAUAUGAUUUAUUUUAUUUAUCAGAGGAACUUUAGAGUCCUAUUUGCAAAUAUUGAAAAUAUUAAUCAUUUAGACAUAUAUGGAAAUAUCAUAUCAAUAAUAUCUGGAAAAAAACUUUACACCAAAGAAGUACAGUCUUGGUAACCAAUAUACAAUACAAGAGAGAAGGAAAAUGAACAUCCUAUGGAACCCUAGAAACAAUCGUCUAAAGCUCUCGAGACUGGAAGAUAAGCUGCACGAAGCCUCUUCACCUUUCUCUCGUAGGCUGCCUCCAUAUCUGCCUUCUCUUUGGCGAGUCGAUCGUACUUCCUCUUCCAGAACUUGGAAGACUGAGGAAGAAGAAAAGUCACCACAUCAUCAGGCUCAUCGAUAACCUGAUGCUCAAGGAACUCUAUCAACGCAUCCUUAUCUUUAAGCUGCUGAAGUAGCUCCUCUCGCUCAUGGAUCCAAGCAUGCGAGCCGUCUUCGUUUCUCAACUCUUCUACUCAUUGGUCAGGGAGGGUUGAAGGCCCAACCACAACCAAAGGUGUAGGUCUCGGAUACUCGUAAGGCAUAAGGUACUCGGAAGCUCUCCUCCUCACCCACGAGGUAUAGGGUUCCAAAGCAAUACAGUUCUUCGGACCAAGCUCUUUCCUUCCCUGCCUACGGAUCUUGCGCCAAGCGCGGACCAUCCUGUCCUUCAAGCCUUGGGGAUCUUUACUCUCUUGAAAGAAUACACCUUCUAGUAGAAUGUUAUUGGGUUUAUCCUUUAAGGGGAACCCAAGCUGACGACGUGCUAAAAUAGAGUUGUAGUUAAUCCCGCCACAUGUACCAAGAAGAGGUGUGAGCAAAUUCUUUACUUUGAAUAAGUUUUGAAUGAUAGCAAAUUGUGUGAUCAUUGUCUAAUUAUUGGUUGUGCAUUAUUUUACAUGUUUCAUUUGUGUUUUUAGCCUAUACUAUUGUUUCGUAAUUAUUCUAUGUAUCGAUACAUACGAGCUUUGUAUCGAUACAUGCUUAGUUAAAAUGUUCUAUGUAUCGAUACAUACGAGCUUUGUAUCGAUACAUGCUUAGUUAAAAUGUUCUAUGUAUCGGAUACAUCGAGCUUGAUCGAUAAUGCUUGUAUAAUUAUAUAAAAUUAAUCAAAGCUACAGUAUGUAUCGAUGCAUAUUCUUUUGUAUCAAUACAUAAUUCUGUUUUGUCUACUAACAGCUUCUGUCUUUCACAUAUAAGAAGUAUUUUGACAGCUCAGUUAAAAACACACGAAUUCAGAAGUGAAAAACAGUUGUAGCACAAAUCAAAGGAGUGUGUAGCAACAAUUGUUUUUGAGCAGUUAGAAACUUGAAAGAGACUUCAUCUUCUUCAUCUUCUUCAUCUUCUCAAUCUCUUUUCUUCAAGAACAUCAACAUAUAAUCAUUCUUGUUCUUUGGAUUAAAGGAUCAACGAGAUAACGUUCAGUGGAACGUUCAAGGAUCUAGCUGAGGUGUUCAGUGGAACGAUCGAGGAUCUAGCUGCGUUGAAAGUUGAAGGGGGUUUCGAGGAAAAACCAAAUGGUUUGUCCUUCAAGAAUUGGAGUGUUCUUGCGGGUUUAUUAGUCACGUUUGCUGAACAGAUUCAGCCGUAGCGUAGGGUUUGGAAAUUGGGUAAUUUCGCAAACAGGUCGUGGAACCGGUGAAUUGUUUGCAAUUUCUUGCAGGAAAUUCUUGAUCGAGCUCAGAUCAAGUGGAGGUUUUACAGAGAAGAAGAUCUUGAUAUUUAGAUUUCUUUCUUUUGUAUUGUAACCUUAUAUCACGAAUUCGGCAUAUAACAGUUCUCAAUUUCAUUUGAAAUUGAGAGGGAGACGUACCCACACGCGAGGACGACAGUGGGGAACUUCCUUACCAAAUCUCUGCGUAUCGUAUUCUUUCCUUAUCUCUCUUUACUUUUUCAACAGUUUUGUGAUUUCAGUUGGUGUAUUGUGGCUGUACAUUUCGUGAUACAAUAGUGGCAAGAAAACUUCUUUAUCUAAACUCCACCACUGUUCAUCAUUGAUCACACACACACCAAAUGUUUGACAAAACUGUCAGCUGAGUUUUAUUCAUUGGAAUUAGAAUUUAGUGAUAAGUGCAUUUGAUUUGAUAAUAUUCUGGUGUUAAUAAUCUCUAUCGUUCUAAUUCAAAUCCAGCAAUAAACUCGCGUGUCCGGUUUUCUAGUAGCGGUUCAGAAUAGACGGAAGUCGAUUCGGGACUGUAAUUUUCCGCUAAGUAUCAAUAACUCUGAUAAGGAUUUUUAAAUCCGUUUAUUUUAAAAGAGGUGAUCUAUUCACCCCCCUCUCGAUCACUAGCCACACCGUCUAACAAGCGGUAUCAGAGCGCCGGUUCGCUGGUGUUCUGUGGCUGCCUGUAACGAUAUGGAUUCUGAACCAAAGGGGGCGUAUAAUAGAGCGCCGAUUUUCAACGGUGAAAAUUACGGCUACUGGAAAGACUGCAUGCGAGUUCAUAUAAAUUCUGUUGAUAGGCUAGUAUGGGCUGCCAUUGAAAAUGGUCCUUUUCAAAUUACUAUGACAAAUGCGGCUGGCGCCAUAGUUCCUAAACCAGAAGGUGAUUAGAAAUGAGAAAGAUAGAAAAAGUGGUCGAGUGAUUGGAGAGCUCGAAAUAUGCUAUUUCAGCACUUGGUGUUGAUGAGUAUUAUCGGGUAUCCCAUUGCACGACAGCUAAAGAAAUGUGGGAUGCUUUAGAAGUUGCCCAUGAGGGUACUACUGAAGUAAAACAGUCCCGCAUUAACAAACUCAAUCAAGAGUUUGAGCUCUUUCGCAUGAAACAAGGAGAAUCUAUCUCCGACAUGCAAAAGAGAUUUAUUCAUCUCACUAAUCGUUUGAAUGCACUUGGAAAACCUGUUUCCAAUGAAAUAGCUACUAAUAAAUUUCUGAGAUGUCUUAGCAGGGAAUGGCAACCUAAAGUAACAACUAUUAAGGAAGCCAACGAUCUAACGACACUUACGAUUACAACUCUGUUUGGAAAGUUGGAAGAACAUCAACAAGCAUUAGAAAGUCUUGAAAAGUUUGAGAACAAAAGUAAGAAGGAAAAGGAGAAGAAGAGAGACAAAAAGGGAGAGAAGAAGCCAAUAGUUCUUGUGGCCUCUAGCUCUAAGUCCUCACGAAAAGAGCAAAGUGACAAUGAUUCUAGUAGUGACAAAGAUUCCGAUGAUGAGGAAAUGGGACUUUUUGUAAGGAGAUAUAAUAGAUUCAUUCGAAAGAAUGGAGUCAAGCAUUCCGACAAAAACCUCAUGAAGUUUCAAAGACAAUCUACAGAUUCAAAACAGGAAGAGAAUAAGAAGAGUAGAGGAAAAGGAUCUUGUUUUAAUUGUGGUAAAUCUGGACAUUAUAAAAUAGAUUGUCCUAUGAAGUAUAAGGAUCAAGGAAAAGCUCCACCAAAAGGGUACAACAAACAAAGAAGAGCUUACAUUGCAUGGGAAAGUGAUAGUGAUUCAUCAAGCACACAAAGUUCAAGUGAUAGUGAUGAAACCGCAAAUCUGUGCCUUAUGGCUCACACCAAAAAUCUGUCCUACCACAAGAAGAAAAUCAAUGAUAAAAAGGUAAAACAAGCCUAUUAUAAUAAUUUCUCUUCUAUGUCUUUUUCUGAACUGAAAAUAGCUUUUGAAAAACUGCAUAACGAAGCUGUAGAUGCUUUUAAAAGAUUAUCUUCCGAUAAACAAAUUUUUUCAUUUCUGGAAGGUAAAGUAUACAAAGCUGAAAAAGAUUUAGAAUGGUUAAAAGCUAGUAUUGCAGAAAAUUCAAAAAAUAUUGACAUUGAUGGAUGUAGUAAAGUUGGGUAUUGUGAAGCUUGUCAUAUUUGGCAACAAGAGGUAAACACUCUCAAGGUCAAAUUGGAAAAAGCUUUACAACCUAAGGUUACUUAUGCCGUUGACUCUAGGUUGUUUAAGAAGUCAUUAAAUCCACCAUAUGCAAAAUACUCUUUUAUUCCAAAGGAUUUAAUGAACAAGAAUAAACAAACACAUCAUCAUGGUUUAUGUCAUUAUUGUUGUCGUGCUGGCCAUACCAUUGAGAAAUGCAAGUUUAGGAGAUUUCUUGUUCCUAAAGGUAUUUAUCAAUGGAAGCCAAAAGGCAACCAUGUUAGCACUUACCCACUUGGACCCAAUGAAAAUUGGGUACCAACUUCUCUCUUUUGAUAUUGUAGGAUGAGUGCCUUGCUUCCGUAGAUAGGAGAUGGUUUCUUGACAGCGGUUGCUCAAGGCACAUGACCGGUGACAUAUCGCUUUUUAUAGACUUCAAAGCAAAGAAGAAGGGAUAUGUUACUUAUGGAGACAAUAACAAAGGAGCUAUACUUGGCAAAGGUAGUGUAGGUAAUCCCUCUACCACUACUAUUUCUGAUGUCCAUUUAGUAGAGGGGCUUAAACACAAUUUGUUAAGCAUAAGUCAAUUGUGUGACAAGGGUUAUAAAGUUUCUUUCACAAAAACUUGCUGCAUAAUUGAACAUGCUGAACAGAACGUUGUGUUUAAGGGUGUAAGAGUAAACAAUAUCUAUAUGCUUGACCUUUUUGAUGUAUCUUUAACAAGUACUAAAUGUCUAGUUACCUUGAAUGAUGAUUCUUGGCUUUGGCAUAGACGUUUAGCGCAUGUUAGUUUUGAUUUGCUUAAUAAGGUUGUAUCUAAGGAUCUAGUAGUCGAUCUUCCAAAAAUAAAAUUUUCAAAAGACCACCUAUGUGACGCGUGCCAAAUGGGAAAACAAACGAGGGUCUCUUUUAAAUCUAAAAAUGUAAUUUCAACUUCACGAUCCCUUGAGCUUCUCCAUAUGGAUCUCUUUGGACCUUCUAGGACAAAGAGCAUAGGUGGAAAUUAUUAUGGUUUUGUAAUCGUUGAUGACUAUUCUAGAUUUACUUGGACUAUAUUCCUUCAUAGGAAAGAUGAAACUUUUUCUGCUUUUAACAAUUUUGCAAAUCUGUCCCAAAACAAAAUGAAUUCCAAAAUAGUUACAAUUCGUAGCGAUCAUGGUGGUGAAUUUCAAAACUAUCACUUUGAUAAGUACUGUGACAAGUAUGGUAUUAAGCAUAACUUUUCAGCUCCUCGAACUCCACAACAAAAUGGCGUUGUGGAGCGUAAAAAUCGUGUUUUAGAGGAGUUGGCAAGAACAAUGCUAAAUGAGGGUGGAUUACCAAAAUACUUUUGGGCUGAUGCAGUUAGCACAGCUUGUUAUGUUUUAAACAGGAUCUUAAUUCGUCCUAUUUUAAAUAAAACUCCUUAUGAGCUUUUAAAAGGAAGAAAGCCAAACUUGUCACAUCUUCACGUAUUCGGUUGUAAGUGUUUUGUUUUGAAUAAUGGUAAGGAAAAUAUUGGGAAGUUUGAUGCAAAAGCGGAUGAAGGUAUCUUUCUUGGAUACUCACAAUCAAGUAAAGCAUAUAGAGUAUAUAAUAAGCGUUUACUUACUGUUGAAGAAUCUGUCCAUGUUUCUUUUGAUGAGUCUUAUCCGAAAAGUGUCGGAAAAGGUAUUUCUUUUGAUGACGCAGGUGUAUCUACAGAAGACAUACUCAAGGAAGCUGUUACGGAAACUGAUCAGUCCAGAACAGUUGCCCAUGAGAAGGAGGAAGAUACUAGUCAUGAAGAAGAUGAGGAAGAAAGGACAGCUGAAGUGAAUGACCUUCCACCAGCUUGGAAAUCUUCAAAAGACCAUCCUAUUGACAACAUCUUGGGAGAUAUUUCAAAGGGAGUAAUGACUCGUUCUAAGAUAAGUAAUUUUUGUUCUCACUUCGCUUUUGUUUCACAAGUAGAACCUAAAAAUGCCAAAGAGGCCUUGAUUGAUGAAUUUUGGCUAAUGGCCAUGCAAGAAGAGCUUAAUCAAUUUAAAAGAAAUGACAUUUGGGAACUUGUCCCUCGUCCGCGAGAUCAUCAUAUCAUAGGUACUAAAUGGGUUUUUAGAAAUAAGCUUGAUGAAAACGGAGUGAUAACUAGGAACAAGGCACGUUUAGUAGCACAAGGGUAUAACCAAGAGGAGGGCAUAGACUAUGAGGAAACUUAUGCUCCAGUUGCUCGCCUUGAAGCUAUACGUCUCUUGCUUGCCUAUGCGUGUUCUAAUAAUUUUAAGCUUUACCAAAUGGACGUAAAGAGUGCGUUUCUAAAUGGUGUCAUAAAUGAAGAGGUAUAUGUCUCACAACCUCCUGGUUUUGAGAAUGCUGAAAAUCCAGAUUAUGUUUACAAAUUAAAACGAGCUUUGUAUGGUCUUAAACAAGCCCCUCGGGUUUGGUAUGAAAGGCUUAGCAAAUUUCUAAUUGAUCAUGGAUAUUCAAGAGGUAAAGUGGAUAAUACUCUCUUUAUUAAACACAAGGGAAAGCACAUUCUUUUAGUUCAAGUUUAUGUAGACGAUAUAAUUUUUGGUUCAACUAACACACACUUGGUCGAAGAAUUUUCUAAGGUUAUGCAGGGUGAAUUUGAGAUGAGUCUUAUGGGGGAGCUGAAUUACUUCCUAGGUCUUCAGAUAAAGCAACUUGAUGAGGGUACAGCAGUAUGUCAAACAAAGUACUGCAGAGAACUACUCAAGCGCUUUGGAAUGAACGACUCAAAAUCAAUUGACACCCCUAUGCCUACCAACGGAAAUCUAGAUAAAGAUGAGCAUGGUAAGAGUGUAGAUGUCAAAAAGUUUAGAGGUAUGAUUGGGUCUCUUCUGUAUCUUUCUGCUUCUAGACCUGACAUCAUGUUUAGUGUUUGUAUGUGUGCACGAUAUCAAUCAAAUCCUAAGGAAUCACACCUGAAAGUUGUUAAGCGUAUAUUUAGAUAUCUUCAUGGAACAUCUAAAUAUGGGCUUUGGUAUUCCAAAGGAAGUGAUUGUAGCUUAGUAGGUUACUCCGAUUCUGAUUUUGCUGGCUGCAAGUCAGAUAGGAAAAGCACGAGUGGUACAUGUCACUUGUUUCCAAACUCCUUGGUAAGUUGGCAUAGCAAAAAGCAGGUAUCUGUGGCUUUGUCAACUACAGAGGCAUAGUACGUUAUAGCCGGUAGUUGUUGCGCUCAGAUUUUGUGGCUAAAGCAACAACUACAAGACUUUAACAUUCAACUCAAACGUAUUCCAAUAAAAUGUGACAACACUAGUGCCAUAAACCUUACUAAAAAUCCUGCUUUACACUCACGCACUAAACACAUAGAGAUUAGACAUCACUUUCUUCACGAUCAUGUUGAAAAAGAAGACGUUGUAUUUGAGCAUGUUGAUACUAAAAACCAGCUUGCUGACAUUUUCUCUAAACCUUUGGCAACGGAACCGUUCUUCAACAUUCGUCGUGAAUUAGGGAUCUUAGAUCUCUCUCCAUUGUUGUCUUAAGCAUGUUUGUUCUUAUUUAUAUUAUGCCUCACCUUGGUUGAUGAGAUUUGUUUUAGAUUUCAUUUAUACCUCACAAGGUUACAUCAACAGAGGUAAUAUCACUCCUUUCUAUAUCUCUUUUAGAACUAUGUGAUUGUGUAUGUUAGAACAAAAUUCCUUAUUUUCGUUUAUGUGAAUUUCUUUGCAUAUAUUGUUUGAACAUUAAUAUCUGAUUUGUGAAUUAUACUUGGGCAUCAUUAUCAUGACAUACUUCAUAAUGCAUAACCAUACUGCAUAAAAAUUAAUUAAAAUUUGGUUUGGCAUCAGUAUGUAUCGAUUCAAAGAUGUAUGUAUCGAUUCAUGUCUUCUUCAUUUCACAUCUGUCAAAAUUGGUUCAGUAUGUAUCGAUUCAUUCGUCGUUUGUAUCGAUACAUAGACCCUUUAAAAACAAAAAUGCGUGACAUGGAUCGAUCCAUUCCCAUAUGCAUCGACACAUACUGAUUGUUAUUUGGAUUAAAUGCAUUUUAUUUCACUCAUGGAUCGACACAUCAGCAAUUCUUAUCACAUCUUUUCACAAACUUGGUAUCAGCAGUUCCCCUACCUCUCAAAACCUGCGGCUAACCCUAAUCUCCUUCAUCAUCAUUCUCUCCAAAACCCUAAAUUCAUCUCACUUUUCUUCAAUUUUUCAUCACCAUGCCUCCAAGAAUCAUUCCGGCUAGAGCAAGGGGAAAAGGAAAAGGAAAGGAACCGGUUGGCACUUCUCAGCAGUUACCAGAAAUUCCUCCUAAUGCCUUAGAUUUGCUUCAUCCUGCAAUUGCUACUGAGUUUGAGGAUUCUUUCAAGACAAGGUUAGUUAUGAAACCCCAUGUCUUCGAUAAACAUGAUGUUAUUCAUCUGCAUCUCAAUGAUGUGGUUGAACUCCUUAAUGCACAAAAACUUGGUUCAUUUUUUACUACAAAGGAUGAUUACCAUGAGGAUUUUAUCCGUGCAUUUUAUGCUGGCUUACAAUCUGGUAAAGGAUAUAUGUUUAAGUGUUCUAUUGGUGUCAGAACCUAUACUUUUGAGGCUGCUGAUUGGGAAACAGUGUUUCAAAUUCCGCUUCCGUCGCAUAAUUUCAAGACUUGGCAUGACUUGAAGUUUGAUACUGACUUUAACCUGAAGGAGUUUACUCUAUCUAUCUUGAAAUUGGACAGACCGCUGGGUGAGGAUGAACAGGUUACGUCUGGUAUGAUUAAGAAAAUUCCUCGUAUACUUCAGUGGAUUAUCUCGCACAUUCUGCGUCCAGCAAACAGUGGACAUUCUAGGUUAGACAGGGCAGGCAUUCAUCUCUUGUAUACUCUUCAAAAUAAGGUUCCCUUGAAUUGGGCAAAUUACUUUGUGAAGCGUCUCUUUUUCGUGCGUAACAGUGCCAAGAAUGUUGCUCUUGGUUAUGCGUCUCAAAUCAUGAAAAUUCUUACGUUCUGGAAUGUUGCAAUCCCUUUAGUUCCUCUCAUAUCACCAUCUGCUGCUCAAGAGUUUGACUCUUCCACUUUAUCUCAUAUGGGAUAUCGGUGGGACAAGGAACGUCAAUGUUUCUAUUUCUUUGAAAGGAAAUCCAAAACAAGGAUCUAUAAUUUUGAUGUGCCUUCUGAACGAAUUCAUGUAGUUGAAGACCAACCUGAUGAAGAAAUGCAUGAUGUGAACGAAGCAGAUGUGCCUGCAGCUGAUGACAAUGCUGGUUGGGGUGAUUGGGUGCCACAAAGGUGGUCUCCAACCAACUAUGUACCUGAACCAACGGUUCCUCCGUUCUCCGGCGGUGCUUCAUCUUCAACACCUACUGCGCACCUAACUCAAAUGCUUCAACAAAUGGAGCUUGCCAACCAAGAACGUCAUGAAGAGGCACGGUCUUGGCAUGUACAACAAAGUGAGUGGUAUAAGGAGCACCGUGAGUGGCAUGACGAUCAUACACGGAUGUACCAUAACCAAUACUCUUGGCACACAGACUUGGUUAAGUGGCACCAAGUCUUCUACAAUGAUGUCUGGUUUUAUGGACGACUGCCGUGCCAAUCCUGGUAUUAUGGACAUAUUCAGAAGUGUUGAAGUUCAGGACUGGUUCAGGCACUACACCUUCGUGGGCCACAAUCCAGAUGCAAUGCCUCCUCCUCCGCCUCCGCCAAGCUUCAGAGAUCCUGAUAGAGAUGACGAGGAGUCAUGUGGUGGCUAUAAUCCACAUUAAACCAUCAUCAUUUCAUUUCACUGCAUUUUAUUGCAUGUUGCUUGAGUUUUUUUCUUUUCAGAUUAGUUGCACCUUAUAUGUAUUGGCUUAUGUAAUUUUUAAAUACUUUCUACUAGUUAAAUGCUUAUUUCCUUCUGCUUACUUCUGGUGUUAUUGCCCUUAUUUGUCAUUCUUUGUGAGUGAUUCUUUAAUUUUUAAGCUUCCUUCUUUGUGAUUGUUAGCUUCUUUAUCAUUUUUGCUAUGUCCUGCUACAACAUGUUGCCUUGAUAAAACUGUUUUUUUCUUCUUUUUGAUGUUGACAAAGGGGGAGAAAUGCAGAUGUUGACAGAUAUGCACAAACUCAGGGGGAGUAUCACACAUCUUGCUAAAAAUUUGCCAUCAUCAAAAAGGGGGAGUUUGUGAGCAAAUUCUUUACUUUGAAUAAGUUUUGAAUGAUAGCAAAUUGUGUGAUCAUUGUCUAAUUGUUGGUUGUGCAUUAUUUUACAUGUUUCAUUUGUGUUUUUAGCCUAUACUAUUGUUUCGUGUCUAUACAUAAAGAUCCACAUUGAUACAUUUCUUAAAAGAACUCAUAAAAACUGUUUUGUGUCAGUAUGUAUCGAUACAUGUUCAUCUGCAUCGAUACAUAAAUUUGUUUUAAAUCACAAAACGUUUUUGCUUCAGUAUGUAUCGAUACAUACGAGCUUUGUAUCGAUACAUGCUUAGUUAAAAUGUUCUAUGUAUCGAUACAUACGAGCUUUGUAUCGAUACAUGCUUAGUUAAAAUGUUCUAUGUAUCGAUACAUACGAGCUUUGUAUCGAUACAUGCUUAGUUAAAAUGUUCUAUGUAUCGAUACGUACGAGCUUUGUAUCGAUACAUGCUUGUAUUAAUUCUCUAAACUUAAUCAAAGCUACAGUAUGUAUCGAUGCAUAUUCUUUUGUAUCAAUACAUAAUUCUGUUUUGUCUACUAACAGCUUCUGUCUUUCACAUAUAAGAAGUAUUUUGACAGCUCAGUUAAAAACACACAAAUUCAGAAGUGAAAAACAGUUGUAACACAAAUCAAAGGAGUGUGUAGCAGCAAUUGUUUUUGAGCAGUUAGAAACCUGAAAGAGACUUCAUCUUCUUCAUCUUCUUAAUCUCUUUUCUUCAAGAACAUCAACACAUAAUCAUUCUUGUUCUUUGGAUUAAAGGAUCAACGAGAUAACGUUCAGUGGAACGAUCAAGGAUCUAGCUGAGGUGUUCAAUGGAACGAUCGAGGAUCUAGCUGAGUUGAAGGUUGAAGGGGGUUUCGAGGAAAAACCAAAUGGUUUGUCCUUCAAGAACUGGAGUGUUCUUGCGGGUUUGUUAGUCACGUUUGCAGAACAGAUUCAGCCGUAGCGUAGGGUUUGGAAAUUGGGUAAUUUCGCAAACAGGUCGUGGAACCGGUGAAUUGUUUGCAAUUUCUUGCAGGAAAUUCUUGAUCGAGCUCAGAUCAAGUGGAGGUUUUAUACAAGAAGAAGAUAUUAGGAUUUAGAUUUCUGUCUUUGUAUUGUAACCUUGUAUCAACGAAUUCGGCAUUAUUGAUAACAACAGUUCUCCAUUUCAUUUGAAAUUGAGAGGGAGACGUACCCACACGCGAGGACGACAGUGGGGAACUUCCUUACCAAAUCUCUGCGUAUCGUAUUCUUUCCUUAUCUAUCUUUACAUUUUCAACAGUUUUGUGAUUUCAGUUGGUGUAUUGUGGUUGUACAUUUUGUGAUACAAUAGUGGCAAGAAAACUUCUUUAUCUAAACUCCGCCAUUGUUCAUCAUUGAUCAUAUACACACCAAAUGUUUGACAAAACUGUCAGCUGAGUUUUAUUCAUUGGAAUUAGAAUUUAGUGAUAAGUGCAUUUGAUUUGAUAAUAUUCUGGUGUUAAUAAUCUCUAUUUCGUUCUCGAUCAAAUCCAACAAUAAAUUCGCGCGUGUCCGGGUUUCUAGUAGGCGUUCAGAAAACAUUUAGAUAAAGCAAUACGGCGAAGUCGAUUCGGGACUGUAUAUUUCCGCCUAAGUAUCAUAACUCGAUAAGAUUUUUUAAAAUCCUGUUUAAUUUAAACAGAGGGUGACUACUUCACGAUCCCCACCCCCCUCUCGAUCACAAGAGGCACAUUGAAGAAUUCAGCACAAGAGUCGAUAAUCUACACACCAUCGUAUACACGGUUGUACCAAAAGAUAUCAUCAUUAGUGAGAGACAUAAGCCUCAUGGACCACCGUAGACAUCCUUUGUUCUCCUUGAAGGCGACCGUCUAUGGCAAGUGCGAAAUAAACCACUUGUACAACAGAGCAAACAGCACACAAUGGUACCACCACCCUUUGCGUUCCUCAUAUGCAAAGAGAAAUAAGUGUCACCCAACAGAGUCCGAACAGGAUUAAGAGUGGAGAAAAUCCUAAUAGCGUUCAUAUCCACAAAUUUGUCGAUGUUGGGAAAUAACACUAGCCCAUAGAUGAGAAGUACAAAUAUAGACUCAAAGGCGUCCUCGCUCAUGGCCUUCCCAUACAAAGUAGCUUGAGCAAUGAGGAAAUCAGAAGGGAGACCUUGAAUUCCACCUUUGCUAGUCAUAUGAGCACCAACCAGAGAUUCAUCUAUAUGCAACAAAUCAACAAUCUCUUGAGAAGUAGGAACCCUCUCUAAGCCACUGAACGGCAACUGAUCUAGGAUAGGUAUACCCACAAGAUAGACAUACUCCUCAAGCGUGGGCAAAAGCUGAAAAUCCAGAAAUGUGAAGCAACGGUACAAGGGAUCAUAGAACUGCACCAAUACACUCAUCAGACCUUCAUCCACUUGAGUGGCAAGAAUAGACAGAAGCUUCCCAUGACGAGCCUUGAACUCCAAGGGAUCUAAUACAUAGGAUGUCAAACUCCUUAGCUCUUUCAAGUCGGGUUGUCUGAAGUUGUACUUCUUUGUAUUCCUUCUUUGUCUAUCCAUGUCUGAAAAUUUGCAAAUAGACCUCUUAAGUUCCUUGAAAAUUUUCUCAUUAUUGAUGAUAUGGAUGUAAAUGGAUGCAUGAAUGCAUCGAUGCAACAAUCACACUCAAGGAUCAAGCAAAGCACACCACACAAAGGUCAUGGGAUGGAUCAAGUCAUCCUUAAUAUCAAUCAUCCAUUUUGGUGGAUUAUGGUUUACACCCUUCUCACACCCAAGUCCAUUGAGAGAGAAGGAUAUAAACACAGAACCUGAUAAACCAUGAACUCAACCGGUUUGUAUACAAGUCACCGAAGCGUGGAAGUCUCGUCUAAGAACCACCCAAAGGGCAUCUGUACCUAGGGUUAAACCUGAAACCACUCAUGUCUAAACAAGAGGUUCCCAUAGUCAUCAUCCCAUCUUUCGGAUAUUAUCGGAUAAACGACUACUCGUAUUCCAAAAAUAUUCUCAAGAGAGACUCUUAUGAGUGUAGUAUCGCGUAACGAUCGUAUCAAAUCUUACACUUGAACGACCUUCGCACUACGUCCUAAAAAUAGGCCAAGAUGGGCUUGGUAAACUAAGGUCCUUGGCUUCUAAGGUCUAUAUUGUAAAGAGUAAUGCCUAACCACGACGACUCGUGUGACAUUAUUGAUCCCAACAUGACCUCCACCAAGUGAAUGGGUUUGCAAGUCAACUUGCUAAGGAAUAACUCCACACAAGUCAAUAAGACUAUGCCAUUCUCUUAUUCUAAGUGCACUCAAGUUCGGGUAUAGAACUCAUCUCACAAAGAUCACCAAGCAUACAAGGAAUUAAUAUAUCAAGCAAUUCAAUCAUUACAUACAAUACAGUAAUCCCAAAUUGCACAUAAAUAUGUCACAAAAUAAUAUACACAAUACAAUACAACAAAUGUGAAAAGUAGGCAAAACCCACUAGGCAAAUGUCCCCAGCGGAGUCGCCACUUUUCUGUAAAUCAUACAAUUUGAGUCGCCACCACACUUCUAUUUAUCCAAAGGGAAGGUUAGAAAGCGAACAAAAAUCGAGAAGUUUUAUCGAAUCAAAAACUAAUAAAAAUGUCAGAGAUCAGGGUAAGGGGGUUGGUUAUGCAAUGGGAAGGUUUUAAGCACCCAAAACAUCCUAGGUACUCCUAGGGAGCCCUUUUCAUAAUUUGUUGUAAGGUAGGUUGGUAUUUGGAAAAAAAUAUUUGUGCAAACAUGAUUGGGGAGAUGAGAGAAGAAUGUACAAAUUAUUUAUAAUUUUGUGUUUGAAUGGAUAAACCCAUUGCCUACGUACCAUCUUAAAAAAGGAUUAGGAUCAAAACCUCGUAGUUCGGGAUAAAAAUCUCAAAACAAGUUGGUGAAUUGAUUGGUCCAAAAGCCUCAAGGUCUUUUGUUAUCCAAGGGAGAAAACUCGACCUAAAACCACAAAUCCACCAUGUGAGGAUAGCUUCAACAUGCUAGUGAGGGGUUAACCCUAUAAUAAGCAUGGAAGACUCAUUGUCCAUCACUAAGGAUAUAGGUGAGUAUUAUAUCAACCUCAAGGAUAACUCAAACCUAAUAGCUAAUGGUUAUGAAAAGUUUUGAUAAGAAGUGGCCAUUGAAACCAUAAAACAUUUGAAUGAGUUGUAUUUACCAAUGAAAAGUAUUUACAAAAUAUGGUCAAAGUUGACUUAAGGGUUCAAUUCAAAAUAAGUGUUAUGAAAGGAAAGUUUGAAAAUCAAAAGCAUAAUGCUUAGGUUUCUAGUUUUUGAAAACAAAUGUUAAUGUUUGCACAAAAUUUUUGGCUUGGGUUAGAGUGGAGGGAAGAAGAAGAAUGACUAAGUUCUAAACAUACAAAGAUGAAGGAAAAGAAAUAAGACCAUAAAUGGAGUUCCCUUCUUGAGAUCAUAGUGAUGAUCCAAGUCGCUCCCAUCCUUUGGAAUAAGCAAGCAAAUAAGCAAAUACUCAAGCAAUCAAUCAAUCAAGCAAGCUCUUAGGAAUCUUCCAAUGGCUCUUGUAUCUCUUACUUUAGAUGCACAUGAUAAUGGUUCUUCAAUUUGGCUCAAAUGGGAAUCCCUAGCACAAGAACACACACAUCAAAAAGUUCCACAAAACAAACAAAGAAUGGACAAAAGUGAGUUUAGAGAUUAGGUCAUUCCAAUUCAUCUUCAACAUUAAGUCCUUUUUACUCCAUUUUUGCAUAGGGAAUGUCCUAAAGUCUAAGUCCUUUUGUCCAUUUGCAUUUGGUUCACAACAAUCAAAACAAAACACAAGCACAAUAGUAUAUACACAAUUAUGUGCUCAAGUGAAUUUGCAUAGGGAAUGUCCUAAAGUCUAAGUCCUUUUGUCCAUUUGCAUUUGGUUCACAACAAUCAAAACAAAACACAAGCACAAUAGUAUAUACACAAUUAUGUGCUCAAGUGAGCAAAAGGCAAAUCGUAAGUGGACUAAUGUAGUAGUCAAACCUAUCUAAGACCGGUCAAUAAAAAUAUAGGCAACAAACACAAGUUAGAGAUCUUGAUUAGUGAAUCAAGCUCCUACAACUUGCCAUGCCAAAAGAAAAGAAGGAUGAUCUUGUAUUGAUUUAGGUUUUCAUGCUUGAUUAGGAAGUAACCUAUCCUUAAUGCAAAGCCAUUCACUUGAUCUUUGGAUCAAGAUGAAUUAGAUUUGAAUCAAGGAAGGUUAAACCUCUCAUACAUCAAGGCUAACCACUAAUCUUUUACUCAUUUAUCAAAAAGAAAAAGAUGAAGAAGAAUAUGGAUAAGAAUGUACAUUAAUGGAAUUCAAAUGAAGUAAGCAAAUUGCAUUGACCAAAGACAAAUGGAAUCAUGGUCAAACACUAGUAAACAGAAGCAAAAUGAAACUUAAAAGUCAAGAAACAAAUAAAAUAUUUUUGGUUUUUUUCAAAAUUGAAAUAAUACUUGAAUUAAAAUAAACAAUUAAAGGUCAAACUUCAAAUCCAUCUCAAAUCAACUUUGAAAAGUCCAAAUGGAUCAUCCUAAGUUCAACAAGGUCAAACAAAGUUUGACAAAAAAAAUUCAGCAUUUUUAGAAACUAGAAACUAUUUUUAAUCAAUUAAAAUGCAUAAAAAAUAACCUAAUUGAAUUAAAAUCUCAAAUAAUUCUCAAAUCAAUUAAUAAAUGGAUGAGAAUAUUUUUCAUAGAUCCAUCAUCAUUCAAAGAGGUUGAGAAAAUAUUUUUGUAUUUUUUGGAUAUUGAAAACUAACUAAAAUGAAUUAAAAAUAACCAGAAAAGAGAAAAUUCAUAAAAAAAUUCAAAUGAUAAAAUAAAAAAUAUUAAAAAUCAUUUUUAGAAACUAGAAAUUAAAAGAGAAAUAAUUUCAUCAGUCUCAUAUUUUUUGGAAUUAAAAUGAGAGAGAUAUGAUUUUUUGAAAUAAAAUAAACUAAAAGAAAUAAAAUGGAUUAAAUCAGAAAAUAGGAAAAAACACACGCGUUGGAUUUAAUUUGUUAAAUGAUCUGGAAGAUCAAACGGCUGUGGCAUGCGCGUGCAUCAUGGACCUAAGUCAACCGAGCAACAUAAACUUUUAAAUAAAGUCAUAAGAUCCAAGAGCCCUGAUUCGAUCUGAGAAUCAUCAUCAACGGCCUGGAUCAAAACUGGCAAACAAACAGUGGUGUACAACACCGUCUUCUCCAGCGAGACCAGAGAUUCCGGCCAAAGUUGCAGAGAAAAAUUCUUAACCAAAUGAAGCGAUCCACAUAUCAUUGGAAAGCUGGAGUGAUGUACAUCACCCCUGUACCAUUGGUUUCUCCUCUAGAUCCUCAUAGAGAGAGAAAUCAGAGAGAGAAAAUCAUGGUGUUCAAUCUGAACUUCACGGAUUUGAAAAAUUAAAAGCACAGUUUGAAUGCCUCUGAUGAAAGGACUUCAGCCAAGGAAAGAAACACAAGAAACAAGCAAUAAUUAGGGAGUUUCGAAGAAGAAAAGUUUGAACAUCCACCUCUGAAAUGUGGAUAUGGAAAGCACAAUUCCUCUUAGCUACUGAUUGCAGUGUGAUCUAGAGAUGAAGAUGAAGCAAGGCCAAGGAAUUUUGAGUCUGAUAAUCAACAAAUGAAGUUGAAAAUCAGAUCUGAAAUUUUGAAAUGAAAGAGUGAAUUCCUUUAGGUAUGGCUAUGGAGGGAGUUUUGCAGCAUAACAGGCGCCUUCAGGUUAUUGAAUUAUGAAGCCUAACACUCUUAUUUAUAGCAAUUGGCAAAGGCAAGCAUGAAAGUUUCAUGUGCAUGAAUGAAGAGGGCCUCCAUGCAUGGGCCUGUACAGGCGCAUGGAGGGCCCAAAUCCUAUUGGUUUGGCAAGCUUAACAUCAGCAAAUGAGUUUUGGAUAUGCAGAUGAAGUGUAAUUGGCUUAUGCAAUGAGUUUUCAAUUAGUUUCCAAAAAUGCACCAAAAUGUUCUCUUCUUCGAAAAUGCCUUUUUCCAAAAAUAAAACAUGGCCUUAUGGGUAAUGGUUGGAAAGCUCUUGACAUGAGCAUCAAUUGUUAUGUUGAGAAAAACUUCAUUUGGAAUUUGGAAAUUAGUGAAAAUUGGUCAUAAAGUGCAAGGUGCAAAACAUGUGUAUGUGAAAAUUUCCAAAAUGGGCCAACUUCAAGCCCUUCUAUUUCAAUGAUGCAAGCUCCAAAUGACAAAACCUUCAACAUAAACGUUGUAGAGAUUUUCAAGAAAAUCAAUUUGGACUCAAAUUUUACAUCAUUUGGAUUUUUGAUGAGGACUUUAAGGGCACUUGAAGUUAGACUUUUUCACAUUUCAAUGCCUUUGGUCCAAAGUGACCUAUAAUGUUUUGCAUUAUCACAUGUAUUUAUUUUAGGAUUAUGAAAAUUUGUUCAACAUAAAAAAUUAAUUAGACAUCUUUAACUUUCCAAUUCAUUGAUCCCACCUCAAAAUAAUGAAAAAUGAAUGAGUUAUGUUAUUGGGAAGUUGACCCAAAAUUAGGGUUUCAGUCAAAAUGACCUAUAAUGUUUUGAAAUGGAUGAUGACCUUCCAAGCUUAAUAACAUUUUUUCUCUUGUAGUCAUCUCCAUAUGACAAACACAUUAAAAUUUAGGUCUCAGUGUACUUCAAAAUAGUCAGAUGAAUUGACUGAUCAACUUCUCAAGUCCAAACCUCAUAUCUUGAUGAAUUGAUGAUUAAAGACACUCAAAUAAGCUCAAAUAUGCAUUAAAUGAUGAAUUAAAGUACUUCCCUUGAUUGUAUUUGAUCAUGGGUUAAGGUUGCUUCAUGGGCAAGGCACAGUUGAUGCACAUAUGAAUUAGGGUUUCCUUGGGAAACAAUCCUCAAACCCCUUGGUUUGCUUUGAUCAAAUUGAUAAAUUGAGAUACUUGUGAGGCAUAUAUAAUGGAUGAGAACCUUGUGAACCAUUGUCAUCCUUGCUUUCACCUUCACCUGGCCAUAUCAAUGAGCAUAGGGUCUCUUAGGAGCCUUGGAUCUUAUGAUUGCUCAAGCUACAAAACAAACAAAGUUAGUGACAUAUUUUUGUGCUUUUGGUUAGUAAACAAAAUAAGAAAAGCAAUAAUAUACAAUUCAAGCAUGCUUGGUGGUAUGACAUAUUUUUGUGCUUUUGGUUAGUAAACAAAAUAAGAAAAGCAAUAAUAUACAAUUCAAGCAUGCUUGGUGGUCUCAAACCAACUCACACAAGUUCCCACCCUAGGGUUAGGAACCAAGAUGCUGUGAUCCUUGAGGCAAAUGCAAAUGCAAUGAUAUGAUGCCAUGAGAGAUCUUAGGGUCAAAAUUAGGGUCUUACAGUCUGUAUAUUCAAGAAUUUAUUCCGAUUGAUAUUUUAGGUAUUAUUCAUGAUGAAGAGCAUGUCAUGCUAUACAUAUGAUGCAAAUUGAAAUUAAAAAUCGAAUUUAUGAAAGUUUUAAAAUGUUCUGACAAAAUUGGGGUAUGACAAAGGUGUUAGCACCCAAAGUGUCUUAGGUACUCCUAGGGAGCCCUUUUUAUGUGUGCAUAUAUUUUUUGUAUAAAAGAUAUUUGAGAAAAUAUAGAGUGUGGGGAUGAGAAAAGAAUUCAUUGAUUAUAUUUUUGUGUUUGACAAGACCUGCGAUCUUAUGCCUACGUACCAACAUAGAAAUGAGGGCUCAGAACCUCGUAGUUUGUGGUAAAAAUUUCAAAGUUGGUGAAAUGCUUUUAACAAAAGUUUAAAUGAAAAGGCACAAAGGGACAAAAAUUUGAAUGAAGUUGUUAGUUCUUUUUGUUUUUUGAAAUUUUAAGUCAAUAUGGUUAAGUUUGUUUACAAGUUUGAUUUAAGAAAAAGGUUUGAAAAUUCAUUGGCAUAAGGCCAAACUUUCUAAUCAUUAAAACAAAGUCUAAGUUUGAAAUCACAAGCAAAUAAGGUUUUUGAAAAGUGGGAGAGAUUUGAAAAUUAAGAAGUGGGAGGAGAUGAAGAGGCUAUCCUAAGCACAAAUUUAAAGUUAAGAGUUGAAAAGAUCUGACCAAUGGGAUGCAAUCUAACAGACAAGACUGUCAUAUAGAAACCCACUUUCCCUUUGGACUAUGAAUCAAGUAAUAAUCAAUAAGAAAUUAGCAAUAUCCAGAUAUCAUGAAGAUCAAGGCAUCAAAUAAAGAUAGCCACAUCCAAGCAAGCAAUCCCGGAAGCUAGCAGUCUUCUUUGUCUUCUCAUGUAUUAGAUGAACUAUUCCUUGAUCAACUCAAAGCAAAGAAUCAGACAUAAGGUCAAAAUAAAAAUUAGCCCAAAGAUAGAGUAGCAGAUGAAUUCAAACAAAAUCCAAGGUUUGCAUCAGAUGAAGGCUCAGUUCACAAUAACUUGGUCUCAAAAUGUUGGCAUUGGCCAAGUCCUUUUUGCACAGGGAGUGUUGCCUAAUUCUAAGUCCAAGAAUUCAGAUCAAGAUCAACAGUCCACCAUAUGUUUUUUUAGGGUUUUUCUUGUUAUUAAGUAUUUUAAGGUUCUAAGACCAUAAACAAAAAACCAAAAACACACAAACAAUAUAUAAUCACAAGAUAUGGCUCAAAUGAGCAAAGUGAAAAUGACAUAAGCAUAAACAAGUUAAGUGAAAUGUAAAUGACAAUGAAUGAUAAAUGACUGAAAUUUAAAUUGCAUAAAGUAAAUGACUUGAAAGUAAAGCAACAUUAAUAAUAAUUACUCAAAUGUUAUUUAAGAGUUAAUCAAGUGUUAGUGGUGGUUUUUAAUUGAUUACGUCAUUCUUUGGAGAACACUCAACCAUUCUUUCACAAGUAUGAAUCCUUAAACAUAGACAUCUUCCAUGAGAAGGGCUCCAACUUGGAUAAUUCAAAAAGUAUGUCACUAGCUCUCAUGAAAGGAAAAAAGGUCAAGUUUCCACACAAUACCAUGAAGAAUGGGAGACUUAUAAUCUCACUUACUAGAAUGAUAUGCCAUUAGGGUCAAAUUUAGCUCUAUGUUAAGUAAUCAUAAUUGAACUUAUGUAGAAGUCACAACUAUCUGAGGCCGGGGAAUAAAAACUUAGGUGUUAAUGCAUGUUAGAGAUUUGGUAUGAAAAACCAAACUCCUAAAACAAACCACACAUUAAAAAAAAAGAUCAAGAGAGACAGACCUAUCUCAGUCAUACUUGUAUUGAUUCAUCUGACAUAAGGUCAUUGAUGAACCAAUUAGUCUUAAGACAUUAGAGAUUUCAUUGGUCCAAUGAGGGAAUGGGAAAGAAUAUGGAUGAAGAUGAAGAUGGAGGGUAACAUAGAAACACAAAUUGACCAAGGGAGGAUUUUCAUCAAAUCAAAACCCUCCAUUCAUUUUGGGAGAUGAAAUGUACAUUUCAUCAGUCCCCUAAAUCCAAUGGUUUUGAUCCAACAAAAUCCAAAUGAACCUUGACCAAUGCCGAAAUAGAAAGUCAAACAUCACAACACCAUAAAAAUGGCUCAACAUAAUUUUUGAACAUUUAAUCAAUUAAAAAUCUAAUUAAAAGUGAAUUAAAAUACAUUUUGUUUGGUCAAAACCUAAAAUCCCUUCAAAACACCAAAUAAAUGGCCAAGGGAUUUAUCCUAGGUCAAACAAGGUCAAAGGACCUUAGACAAAAAAUUUCACUAUUUUUAAAAAGUCAGAAAUACUUUUAAACAAUUAAAAAUAUGCAUAAAAACAUUUAAUUCAUGAAAAAUAUCAAAAUUAGUCCAAAAAAUAAUUUUAAUUCAGAAUAUGAAAGAGAAAAAUAUUUUUGGUGAAAGUCCUAUAGUUUUUGGAUUAAAAAUUAAAUUUCUAUAAAUAAAAUAAAAUAAGAGGAUUAAAUGAAAUUUCAAAAAAUAAAAAGAAAUUAGAAAAAACAAGGGUCAUCAAUAUUCCAUCAUUAAUUGAAGUGGCAGAUCUGAUGGCCACGCGUGCGCUUUCCAUGGUGGAUACGAGUCAAAGUGAUGUACGUGUGGUAACCAAAGGCAAUGGUUCAGAUUAAAACAUCCCAACGUGAUCAGAUGGCCAAGAGGUGUGCUAACACACCACCGGAGCUAUGGCUCCGAUCAUCUUCUCUGGUGACCUCCACCGGACUGGUCCAACUUCAUCUCAACGGAAAAUGAAAAACAAGGACACUAUUUCAAAGAGAAAAUGCUCAGGAUCUCGAAUCUGGCCUCAAUUUUCUCCAAUUCCAAGUAUAUAAAAAGAUACUGGGAUUGGAAUUUUGAGGAUCAUGAACUGAGUUGCUUCGAUUUGACCUCAAAGCAACUCAAUCGUGUUGCCUACAUUGCUAGGCCUUCAGCCAACCAAAAAUCAAAGAUAAUGGUGAAGAAUUGAGAGAGAAUCGAAGAGAUGAAGUUUUUGAAAAUUCACCUUUGAGAGAGCUUGAAUCUUGUUUGAUCUUGCUUCCAAUUGGCCUUGGCUUGACUUCAGAAGCUUGCAGAAGUUGAAUUGGAUCAAGGAAAGGCUUGGAUUCUUGGAGUUUUAACUUUAAAACUGAAGUAAAAUUGAAACUCAAUUUUCAAUUGAAAACCUUCAAGUUUUUCCUCUAAUGGUGAGGGUUAGGAUUGCAGGUUCAAAGCUUGGGCAAGGUGUCCAUAAUUCUGAGCAUGAGGGGUUGUAUUUAUAGGCAAUGCAAUUGCUUUCGACGCACUUCAUUCAAAAUGCCAAAAACAGCAAUUUACUCUUGCAUGGUUGCUUGGGCGUGUGUUAGGCCCAUGAAAUGAUGUAAUCGGUUCCAAAUUUCAUCAUGUGUAAUGCUGAAAGUGUGUCAUGUAAUCAUGCAAUGGAAAUUGGAAUGUGAGCAUGAGAUUCAUCCAAAUGGAGCCUUGAAGAGAAACCGUGUGCAAGUCAUCCAAUUCUUGGCCAAAUGAGAUGAUCGAGGACUUUUAGCGAAGGUGAGAUCAAGGGGAACAACUUUUAUGUUGAAUACUUUUCCAUUUGAAGCUUGGAUCAUGAUGAAUUUUGAGUUGGAAGUUUGGAAAAUCAAACAUAAAUGAAAAUUUUCUAAGUAUCAAGCCAAAUGUUCACUUCUUCCACCUUGAAGAACUUUUACCAUGGGCUUCAAACGGAAAACGUUCCUUCAUUAAAGUUGUAGAUUUUUAAAACCUCAUUUGGAUUUGGCAUGAAGGAGUUAUACAUUUUAGAAGCUGAGGAAAAUCACUUGUUCAAUGGUAAUGGCCCAAAAUGACCUAUAACUUUUCCUCUUGGCACAUGCAUUUGAAAUUUUAAUUUUAAUUUCAUUCAAGAAUAAAAGUUGGAGAGGACAUAUUGAAAUUGAUCAUGGAACUUUGAUGGCCUUCAUAUCAUACAAAUUGAGAAAAUUAUGAUCCUUGGAAGUUUACCUCCUAACUAGGGUUCAGACAAAAUGACCUAUAAUAUUUCACCAUAAACAAUGACUUUACAAGCAAAACUAGAUCUUGACUUAAACAUGAAAGUUGUUUGUAAUGACAUAAGGAUUAACUUUUAUCUUGGAAUAAUUUUCACAUGACAACAAUUGUAGGAGAUAGGGUCUAGGAAACCCCGGUUUUAACAAGUUGACUUUCUCUGGUCAACCACCAUGCACCAACUUGCAAACUUGAAGUUCUAUUCAUCUCUUGGACUCAUGGAGGAUCACAUAUGUAUAAUAUGAUGUAAUAUGAAGUAUCCAUUGAAAUAUUUGAUCAAAUGAUGAAGAAACUUGUUAAGGAAGUCACACAAGAUACCUAGAUGAAUCAGGGCUUCCAACGCAAACAAGCUUCAAACUCUUGAUGAAUUAUUGAUAAAAAUGAUAAGUGAAGAUCAUGGGGAUCCAUAUAUGAUUUCUAGAGUCAAUGUUAACCAUAUAUUGAUUAGUCUCCUUGCAUUGAGGGUCUUAAAUCCUAGAUAUGAUCUUGAUGAGGCUUUGGUGAACACACACACUUCCUACAAAAGAAGUAAACUAUACAUUGACAUAUUCUUGGUAUUUGGGUUAGUAAACAAGGAAAAACAAAGUAUGAUACAAUCAAAUGUGCUUGGUGAUCUCUCUCAAUGCAAACCCAAUGAAUGAGGGGCGAGGAGGAUGCCAAGGUGUGAUCCCAAAGCCAAUGCAUAUGAUGAGAUACCAUGAGGGAUCUUAGGGUCAAAAUUGGGGUCUUACAGCUUCCCUUAUUUAAGGACAUUCUAACUGAGGAUGUGAAGGUUAAAAUCUUCGUGUCAAAGCAAUAGAAUGGACUUAACUAACAACAUAUAGAAACAAAUUUUGGUCCCUAAGAGACCUCAUGGUGCAUAUGAUAUGAAUGUUAAAAGAAAUCUUUGCGGGGAAUAUAUUGCCACAAAAGGAAAAGAAUCCGGAGAGACUGAAAGUCCAUAGGAGCGUAAUGCAUUCCAUAAGGAAAACUCACCAGGGAGACUCUGGGGAUAAAAGUUGUGCAUAGGCCAGGCUACGACUUGAAAACUGCUGGAGACACUGGGUAUUUUCCAUGAAAAUAAAUCAAUGGAAGGAUUCAGUUUGGGGAUAAGGGACAUCUGCAGGGGAAACUGGUGAAUCGAAACAAAGAUGAAAUAUGUGAAUCAAACUCAACUGGGGAAGAAUGAACUUCAACACAGGAGUACCAGAAAUAGUUAUUUAUUAUUGAUUAUUGGGUAGGAAGAUAAUACACUCUGAUAGAGGGACAUCUGUUACCGGUUAGGGUAAACAUAUCAAGGAUGACUUGCUGAGGAGAAAGAGGUGUAUUCAUUACCUGUUACUGGUUAAGAAUAACUUGUUGGGGAAAAAGAUCAAAUAAGAUUUACAACUACUGGUUACUGAGUAGAAGGCCAAAAGGAGAGAAUAUUUGUCACCUGUUAAAGUGAACAUAUCAAGGAUAACUCAAGGGAAGAAUAUCGGUCAUCGGUUAAGAUGAACAUAUCAAGGAUAGAUUGCCGGGGGAAAAUAGGAAUUAUAUCUAUCAGUUACUGGAUAGAAUAGCAAAGAAAAAAUAUUUGUCAUCGGUUAGGGUGAACAUAUCAAGGAUAAACUCAAAGGAGAAAGUAGGAUUUACAACUACCGGUUACUGGGCAGAAGACCACGAAAAGGAGAAAAUAUGUCAUCGAUUAAGAUGAACAUAUCAAGGAUUAACUCUCUGAGGAUAAGAGUAGGGAUUACAACUACCUUUUUACUGGGUAGAAAACCACAACGGGAGAAUAUCCGUCACCGGUUAGGAUGAUCAUAUCAAGGAUAUACUGCUUGGGGAAACAUGGAAACGAAUCCACUAGGGAAAACAAAGAAAGUGAAUUACAUUUAUCAGAUAUUGGGAAAAAGUAAAGUACUCAAAAGUUGAGAAGAAUAUUACCAGUUACUGGGUAAUAGACUCCCAAUGGACCAAAAUAUCUAUCUAGGUAAUAGUUAGAAAGAAACUGUCAAACAAAGACUCGACCCAAUGAGGAUAUAUCUCAAGGGGAGUGGUUCUAUCCAGAUAAUCAUAUGGGGAGGAAACUGAAACAAUAAUCAUCCGAGAGGAAGUAACUCAGUAGGGAAAUGAGAAAGGUUAAACUUUUUCUGCUUAAAGAGGUUGACAAUCUACAAUUGAAAGAGGACGGGCACACCAAAUCUGCACGGGUAAAUGAUAUCACUGAAGCAAGGGAUCAGAGUAAUGAAAUCAAAUGCAAUAAAAUGCAUAAUGAAAUAUUUGAUGAAUAUGAAUGUAUAUGAUUGAUGAUUAUGCUGACAAAAUAACACAAAGAUUGGAAUCACUACUGCAACACUCGACUAAUCUCAAUAAGAUGGAAACACCAACUGGAGAAAAUGCUAGGGAUGAAAAUAAAUCAUCUAGCUCUGAACAAAUCAACCCUGGCUAGGAAAGUCAUGGAGAACAUGCUUCCAACCAAUCCCGGAAAACUCCACGGGGAGAAAGAGCACUGCUGAAGGAUACACAAACAUGUCGAGGAUCAGAGAGAAGAUCUACUGAGGAUCCAAAUUGUCAACUUCGCAGGGAAUUUUAGGUCAACCCCAUACCACAUGAGAGAUAACCCUGUCAGGGACAAAACCAAAAUACUGCUCAGAAUCCAAAACUGCCGAGAACGUGGGAUCUUCAAUAUCUGAAGAUGAACUCUGCUGGGGAAUACAAGAGAUAAACCUUUGCAUGGAGAUCUAAGCAAAUUGCUGAGAAUGCUACAUCUAAGAUCAUCACAUUCCUCAAUAAUCAACAAAUUCUCCUUAGAAAUUGCGAAAUAAACCAAUUCCAAGGAAAAGAAAACCGGAUUUGAUAAAAUGCUGAAGUUAUGUAACACAAAUAUGCUAAUGGAGACCAAAUAAAGGUUCCAGAUCUCUAAAGUCCAACCAUAAACUGGAAGAUAACAACAGGAGCACCAUAGUUUAGGAAACAUGGAUUUGCAAAAGGGAUCAAUCAUCAUCUCGACUCCACUGGGAUGUGACCCAUCUAUUCAGCUGAGGAUAACUGACGAAUUGUUGCGGAAGAAAAUAGUUACCAAAUUGACUCCUUAGGGAAGGCCAACAAGGCUUCGCACUUCAAGACUUACCUGUUCUCAAAUUGUUGUUGGCAUUCCUUACUGAAAUCGAUUAUUCUUAAAGUGAUUGUUUUUAUUAUUUUUAAGAAAAAAUAAUUUUUAUUCAUUAUUUCAAAAUUAUCAUCAUUAAAAAUUCAAUUUUAUUUAGCAGAAGUAAAUAAGAGUAGAAACAAUUGGAUAAAAGCUCAACUUUGUUUAAUAGAAUGGUAGUUUGUAAAUGACAGGACUCCAUAGAUUUUUACAAAGUUGGAAAAGGGGUACAUUGAAUACAAUGAUCACUACUCUCCCUACCAACGUCAGUGUCCAUUAUGCUCUUGGCUUCGGUUCAAAAUAAUGAAUCAGAACCAAAUGACCUGUUCAAAACUGCCUCCAUGAUUAGGACCAACCGAAUGCAGUUACUUGCCAUAAUCCCAAUUUUUUGCCUAGAUUGCCCCAAGUUGGGGUACGCAAUCUACCAGGAUGAAUUUUCUAUUUUAUGUCUCUAAUUGUUUUUGCCUGGAUCGCCCUUUCGAGUUUUCAAUCCACUGAGAUGCUCAUUUUUGCCUAAGCCUCCCUUUUGGGUUUUCAACUUAGUGAGCUGUUCUUUUCUUUUUUAGGAAAGUAUUUCUUGACUGCAUCGACAUUCACAAGACGGGUGAACUCUUCACCAUCCAUAAUUGUAAGAAUCAAAGCACCGCCCUGAAAAGGCUCUCUUAACAACAUACGGGCCUUCAUAAUUAGAAGUCCAUUUGCCCCUAGCAUCAGGUUUGAAAGAUAUGAUCCUUUUUUAGCACGAGGUCACCUUCUUUAAACACAUGACGCCUGACCUUCUUAUUAAAUGUCUUCUUCAUUCUUUGCUGAUAUAACUGACCAUGACACAUGGUGUAAGACCCUAAUUUUGGCCCUAAGAUCCCUCAUGGCAUCAUAACAUUGCAUUUGCAUAGGCUCAAGGAUCAUAAGCAUCUUGGCUCCUUCCCUUUGGGUGGGAUCUAUCUUGUAAGUGGUUUGAGAUCACCAAGCAUGCUUAAAUUGUAUAUUAUUGCUUUUCUCAUUUUAUUUACUAACCAAAAGCACAAAAAUAUGUCACUAACAUUUCUUGUUUGUAGCUUGAGCAAUCACAAGAUCCAAAGCUUCUAGGAGAUCCUUUGUGCAUUGAUAUGGUCAGUUUAAGAUGAAAACAAGAAUGGUAAUGGUUCCCAAAGCUCUCAUCCAUCAAAUAUGCCUCCCAAGUAUCUCAGUUCAUCAUUUUGAUCAAAGCAAGUCAAGGGGUUUGAGUUUUGUUUCCCAAGGAAACCCUAAUUCAUCUGGUCAUCAACUGUGCCUUGCUCAUGAAGCAACCUCAAUCCAUGGUCAAAUACAAUCAAGGGAAGUUAUUUAAUUCAUCAUCUCAUGCAUAUUUGAACUUAUUUGAGUUUCCUCAAUCAUCAAUUCAUCAAGAUAUGAGUUGUGGACUUGAGAAGUUAAUCAGUCAACUCAUCUGACUAUUUUGAAAUACACUGAGACCUAACUUUUUAUGUGUUGGUCAAAUGGAAAUUAUACCAAGAGAAAAAAAUUUGUUAAGGACAACAUGAACAACUUUCAUGUUCAUCAAAAUUUUAUUUAAAGCUUGGAAGGUCAUCAUCCAUUCCAAGACAUUAUAGGUCAUUUUUACUGAAACCCUAAUUUUGGGUCAACUUCCCAAGAACAUAACUCAUUCAUUUUUCAUUUUUUUGAGGUGAGACUUAAUGAAAUGGAAAUCUUAUUAUGUCUACUUUAAAUUUUAUGUUGAGAAAAAUUUAAAAAUCUCAAAAUAAAUACAUGUGAUAAUGCAAAAUAUUAUGGUCACUUUGGGCCAAAUGCAUUGAAAUGUGAAAAAAUCCAACUUCAAGUGCCCAUAACUUCUUCACUAAAAAUCCAAAUGAUGCAAAAUUUAAGUCCAAAUUGAUUGCCUUGAAAAUAUAUACAACGUUCAUGUUGAAGAUUUUAUCAUUUGGAGCUUGCAUCAUUGAAACAUAAGGGCUUGAACAUUGGCCAAAUUUGGAAACUUCACAAAUGCAUGUUUUGCACCCUACACUUCAAGCUCCAAUUUAAUUAAUUUCCAAGGCCCAAUUGGAGUCUUGAUCAAAAUAGCAUUUGUUCCUUAUGAAACAAGCUUUCUAACCAUUACUCAUAAGGUUGCAUUUGGAGUUUGGAAGCAUCAUUUUCGAAGACAUGAAGAAUUAAGUGCAUUUUGUGAAAUUCAUUUCAAACUCAUUGCAUGAGUUGUUAACAUUUAAUUUGCACGUCCAUUUCUCAUUUGGUGAGGCAUAGCAAUCCAUUCCAAUCAUAAUUGGGCCCUCCAUGCGCAUGUACAUGCCCAUGCAUGGAGGCCCUCUUCUCCCAUGCACACUUUGUUCAUUGCAUUUCAGAUGGCUUUGGCUAUAAAUACAAGUGCUUUGCUCUUCAAUUCUUCAACCUAAUGGCGCCUAAAUCCCUGUUGAAUUGAAUCCCCACCCAUACCAAAGGAACAAACUUCAUUUUUCUAUAAAAAUUUCAGAUCUGAAAUUCAAUUGCAUUGAUUGAUUUUUAAGAUCUAAAGUUCCUAGACCUCUUCACCUUGAUCCAUUGAACCUUCUGUUUGCAAAAGUAAUCAAAGAGAGUGACUCAAUUCUUCACAAUCCAAAGGUUUUGCUCAACUGAAUUUUGCUUCGAAUCUCAUCAUACAUUGCUCCAUUUGCCUUGAUCUUGUGUUGUAUGAAGUCCUCUAUAUAAGGGCAUCAUUAUUGUCUUCUUAAUUGUUGAAAUCGAGCAAGUUCAGUUGAACACCACCAAAGUUCCAUCUCUGAUUUCUCUCUUAAUAGGGAUCUAGAGUGGAAUUGAGUGGCAUAGGAGUGAUGUACAUCACUCCACCUUUCGAAUGGUGAAGCAAGUUCAGUUGAACACCACCAAAGUUCCAUCUCUGAUUUCUCUCUUAAUAGGGAUCUAGAGUGGAAUUGAGUGGCAUAGGAGUGAUGUACAUCACUCCACCUUUCGAAUGGUGCCUGGAUCGUGCAUUUUAGUUAACAUUUUUUGACCUGCAAUUUUUUAUCUCCACCGGAGCUAGCCGGAGAAGACGGUGGCGCUGGCCACCGUCUGGUCUCCAAAUCCAAUCGUGGUCGUCCAUGUUUAUUUUUGGAUCUAAUCUCAGCAGUCCAAACUUAUGACUUAUUUUAAUUCAGCGUGUGAUGGCAUUGACUGUGGAACAUGUUGGACGCACGCUUAUGGAUGCUUGGAUCUUCCAGCUCAAUUAAUGAGCUCAGAUCCAAGGGCUCUCGCUUUUCCAUUUAUUUUAAUUCAGAUUUUAAUUUCUAUUUCAUUUUUUUAUUCCAUUUCAUUUUCUAAAAUUCAUAUCUCUUUUUUUAUUGGUCCAAAAAUUAUGGGACCAAUUGCAUUAUUUCUCUUUUAUUCUCUAGUUUCUAAAAAUGAUUUUUAAUAGUUUUUAUUUUAUCAUUUGCUAUUUUUUAGUAAUUUUCUCUUUUCUGGUUAUUUUUUAUUCAUUUUAAAUAGUUUUUGAUAUUCCAAAAAUACAAAAAUAUUUUCUCAACCUCUUUGAAUGAUGAUAGAUCUAUGAAAAAUAAUCUCAUCAAUUUAUUAAUUGAUUUGAUAUUUAUUUGAGAUUUUAGUUCAAUUAGGUUAUUUUUAUUCAUUUUUAAUUGACUAAAAAUAGUUUCUGACUUUUAAAAAUGCUGAAAUUUUUUGUCAAACUUUGUUUGACCUUGUUGAACUUGGGAUAAUUCACUUGGACUUUUCAAAGUUGAUUUGAAGUGAGUUUGAAGUUUGACCUUUCUUUAAUAUUUUAAUUCAAGUUUUAUUUUAAAUAUUAAAAAUUCCAAAAAUAUUUUGUUUAUUCCUUGACUUCCAAUCUUCAUUUUGCUUCUGUUUUCUAUUGUUUGACCUUGAUCUUCCCUAUCUUUGGUCAACAUUUGUUGAUUGGUACAUUCCAUUUCUUUUAAUGCACUUUAAUUCUUCAUUUCUAAUUCUUCUUCUUCUUCUUUUCUUUUCUUUUUUUUGAUCAAUGAGUUAGAGGUUGAUGGUUAGCAUUGAUUAGGGAGGUUUAAUCUUCCUUGAUUCAAAUCUAAUUUAUCUUGAUCAAAUGAUCAAGUGAAUGGCUUUGCAUUAAGGAUAGAUUGCUUUCUAAAUCAUGCAAAGGACUUAAACCAAUACAAGAUCAUUUCUCAUCUUCUUUUUGGCAUGGCAAGUUGUUGGGGUUUGAUUCGCUAAUCAAGACCUUUAACUUGUGUUGUUGCCUACAUUAUUAUUGACCGGCCCCAAAUAGUUGUGACUUCUACAUAAGUUCAAUUACGAUUGCUUAACAUAACGCUAAAUUUGCCUUAUGGCACACUAACUACUAACAUUAACCAUUAAGCAUUAACAUUUACUUUUUGCUCUUUACAUUUAUGCAAUUUACUAUUCUUGUACAUAUUAUUCAUUUGCUUUUCUCCUUUGCUCACUUGAGCACAUGUUUAUGCUAAUGCAAUUUGCCUUUUGUUCACUUGAGCACAUGUUUAUGCUAAUGCAAUUUUCCUUUUGCUCACUUGAGCACAUAAUUGUGUAUAUAUCAUUGUGCUUUUGUUUUGUUUCGAUUAUUGUGGACUAAAUGCAAAGAAAUGGACAAAUGGACUUAGACUUUAGGACUUCCCCUAUGCAAAUUUGGAGUCAAAGAGUAACUAGGCAUUGGGCCUUUAGAAUGCUAUAAGUGCUAAAGAAAACUUUGGAAGGACCAAUUUCUAAACUCUUGCUUGUUCAUUCUUGAUUUGUUUGAUAGAACUUUUUAAUGUGUGUGUUCUUGUGCUAGGGAUUCCAACAUUGAUCCUAAGUGAGGAACCAUUGCCAUGAGCUUCUAAGAGAGAGAGAGAUCUAAGAGCCAUUGAGGGACUUUCCAAGAGCUUAAUUGAUUGUUGAUUGCUUGAGCUUACUAUUAUUUUGCUUGCAUAUUCCAAAGGAUGGGAGCUACUUGGAUCAUCAAUAUGAUCUCAAGAGAGGAACUCCAUGUGUGGUCUUGUUUCUUAUCCCUUAUCUCUUGUAUGAUUAGAACUUUAGCCAUUCUUCUUCUUCCCUCCACUCUAACCCAAGCCAAAACUUUUGUGCAAACAUUUAACACUUCUUCUUUUUUAACAUUAGAAACCUAAGCCUUAUGCUUUUGAUUUUCAAACUUUCUUUUCAUAACACUUAUUUUGAAUUGAACUUUUAAGUCAACUUUGACCAUAUUUUGUACAUACUUUUCAUUGGUAAAUAUAACUCAUUCAAAUACUUUNNNNNNNNNNNNNNNNNNNNNNNNNNNNNNNNNNNNNNNNNNNNNNNNNNNNNNNNNNNNNNNNNNNNNNNNNNNNNNNNNNNNNNNNNNNNNNNNNNNNNNNNNNNNNNNNNNNNNNNNNNNNNNNNNNNNNNNNNNNNNNNNNNNNNNNNNNNNNNNNNNNNNNNNNNNNNNNNNNNNNNNNNNNNNNNNNNNNNNNNNNNNNNNNNNNNNNNNNNNNNNNNNNNNNNNNNNNNNNNNNNNNNNNNNNNNNNNNNNNNNNNNNNNNNNNNNNNNNNNNNNNNNNNNNNNNNNNNNNNNNNNNNNNNNNNNNNNNNNNNNNNNNNNNNNNNNNNNNNNNNNNNNNNNNNNNNNNNNNNNNNNNNNNNNNNNNNNNNNNNNNNNNNNNNNNNNNNNNNNNNNNNNNNNNNNNNNNNNNNNNNNNNNNNNNNNNNNNNNNNNNNNNNNNNNNNNNNNNNNNNNNNNNNNNNNNNNNNNNNNNNNNNNNNNNNNNNNNNNNNNNNNNNNNNNNNNNNNNNNNNNNNNNNNNNNNNNNNNNNNNNNNNNNNNNNNNNNNNNNNNNNNNNNNNNNNNNNNNNNNNNNNNNNNNNNNNNNNNNNNNNNNNNNNNNNNNNNNNNNNNNNNNNNNNNNNNNNNNNNNNNNNNNNNNNNNNNNNNNNNNNNNNNNNNNNNNNNNNNNNNNNNNNNNNNNNNNNNNNNNNNNNNNNNNNNNNNNNNNNNNNNNNNNNNNNNNNNNNNNNNNNNNNNNNNNNNNNNNNNNNNNNNNNNNNNNNNNNNNNNNNNNNNNNNNNNNNNNNNNNNNNNNNNNNNNNNNNNNNNNNNNNNNNNNNNNNNNNNNNNNNNNNNNNNNNNNNNNNNNNNNNNNNNNNNNNNNNNNNNNNNNNNNNNNNNNNNNNNNNNNNNNNNNNNNNNNNNNNNNNNNNNNNNNNNNNNNNNNNNNNNNNNNNNNNNNNNNNNNNNNNNNNNNNNNNNNNNNNNNNNNNNNNNNNNNNNNNNNNNNNNNNNNNNNNNNNNNNNNNNNNNNNNNNNNNNNNNNNNNNNNNNNNNNNNNNNNNNNNNNNNNNNNNNNNNNNNNNNNNNNNNNNNNNNNNNNNNNNNNNNNNNNNNNNNNNNNNNNNNNNNNNNNNNNNNNNNNNNNNNNNNNNNNNNNNNNNNNNNNNNNNNNNNNNNNNNNNNNNNNNNNNNNNNNNNNNNNNNNNNNNNNNNNNNNNNNNNNNNNNNNNNNNNNNNNNNNNNNNNNNNNNNNNNNNNNNNNNNNNNNNNNNNNNNNNNNNNNNNNNNNNNNNNNNNNNNNNNNNNNNNNNNNNNNNNNNNNNNNNNNNNNNNNNNNNNNNNNNNNNNNNNNNNNNNNNNNNNNNNNNNNNNNNNNNNNNNNNNNNNNNNNNNNNNNNNNNNNNNNNNNNNNNNNNNNNNNNNNNNNNNNNNNNNNNNNNNNNNNNNNNNNNNNNNNNNNNNNNNNNNNNNNNNNNNNNNNNNNNNNNNNNNNNNNNNNNNNNNNNNNNNNNNNNNNNNNNNNNNNNNNNNNNNNNNNNNNNNNNNNNNNNNNNNNNNNNNNNNNNNNNNNNNNNNNNNNNNNNNNNNNNNNNNNNNNNNNNNNNNNNNNNNNNNNNNNNNNNNNNNNNNNNNNNNNNNNNNNNNNNNNNNNNNNNNNNNNNNNNNNNNNNNNNNNNNNNNNNNNNNNNNNNNNNNNNNNNNNNNNNNNNNNNNNNNNNNNNNNNNNNNNNNNNNNNNNNNNNNNNNNNNNNNNNNNNNNNNNNNNNNNNNNNNNNNNNNNNNNNNNNNNNNNNNNNNNNNNNNNNNNNNNNNNNNNNNNNNNNNNNNNNNNNNNNNNNNNNNNNNNNNNNNNNNNNNNNNNNNNNNNNNNNNNNNNNNNNNNNNNNNNNNNNNNNNNNNNNNNNNNNNNNNNNNNNNNNNNNNNNNNNNNNNNNNNNNNNNNNNNNNNNNNNNNNNNNNNNNNNNNNNNNNNNNNNNNNNNNNNNNNNNNNNNNNNNNNNNNNNNNNNNNNNNNNNNNNNNNNNNNNNNNNNNNNNNNNNNNNNNNNNNNNNNNNNNNNNNNNNNNNNNNNNNNNNNNNNNNNNNNNNNNNNNNNNNNNNNNNNNNNNNNNNNNNNNNNNNNNNNNNNNNNNNNNNNNNNNNNNNNNNNNNNNNNNNNNNNNNNNNNNNNNNNNNNNNNNNNNNNNNNNNNNNNNNNNNNNNNNNNNNNNNNNNNNNNNNNNNNNNNNNNNNNNNNNNNNNNNNNNNNNNNNNNNNNNNNNNNNNNNNNNNNNNNNNNNNNNNNNNNNNNNNNNNNNNNNNNNNNNNNNNNNNNNNNNNUUUUGUGACAUAUUUUUGUGCAAUUUGGGAUUACUGUAUUGUAUGUAAUGAUUGAAUUGCUUGAAUAUUAAUUCCUUGUAUGCUUGGUGAUCUUUGUGAGAUGAGUUCUAUACCCGAACUCGAGUGCACUUAGGAUAGGAGAAUGGCAUAGUCUUGUUGAUUUGUGUGGAGUUAUUCCUUAGAAAGUUGACUUGCAAGUCCAUUCACUUGGUGGAGGUCAUGUUGGGAUCAAUAAUGUCACACAAGUAGUUGCGGUUUGACAUUACUCUUUCCAAUAUAGACCUUAGAAGCCAAGGACCUUAGUUUACCAAGCCCAUCUUGGCUUAUUCUUAGGAUGUAGUGCGAAGGUCGUUCAAGUGUAAGAUUUGAUACGAUUGUUACGCGAUACUACAUUCAUAAGAGUCUCUCUUGAGAGUAUUUUUAGAAUACGAGUAGUCGUUUCUCCGAUAAUAUCCGAAAGAUGGGAUGAUGACUAUGGGAACCUCUUGUAGAACAUGUUUGGCAGGUUUAAACCCUAGUACGCUCCCUUUGGGAGGUUCUUAACCGAGACUCCAUGCUCAUGACUUGCAACAAACCCUUGAUUCAUGGUUGAUCCGUUCUUGUAUCCUUAAUAUCAAUGAACUUGGGUGUUGAUAAGGUGUAAACCAUAAUCCACCAAAAUGGAUGAUUGAUAUUAAGGAUGACAUGAUCUAUCCCAUGACCUUUGUUUGGUGUGUUUUGCUUGACCCUUGAGUGUGUUUGUUGCAUUCAUGCAUUCAUGCACCCAUUUUCAUCCAUAUCAUCAAUAAUAAGAAAAUUUUCAAGGAACUUAAGAGGUCUAUUUGCAAAUUUUCAGACAUGGAAAGACAAAGAAGGAAUACGAAGAAGUACGGUUUUAGACAACCCGACUUGAAAGAGCUAAGGAAUUUGACAUCCUAUGUAUUAGAUCCCUUGGGUUUCAAGGCUCGUUUUGGGAAGCUCCUAUCUAUUCUGACUACUCAAGUGGACGAAGGAUUGAUGAGUGUAUUGGUGCAGUUUUAUGAUCCCUUGUACCGUUGCUUCACAUUUCCGGAUUUUCAGCUUUUGCCCACGCUUGAGGAGUAUGCCUACCUUGUGGGUAUACCUAUUCUAGACCAGUUGCCGUUCAGUGGCUUAGAGAGUGUUCCUACUUCUCAAGAGAUAGCUGAUAUGUUGCAUAUGGAUGAAUCCCUGGUUGGUGCUCAUAUGACUACCAAAGGUGGAAUUCAAGGUCUCCCUUCUGAGUUCCUCAUUGCUUAAGCUACUAUGUAUGGGAAGGCCAUGAGUGCGGACGCCUUUGAGGCCAUAUUUGUACUUCUCAUCUAUGGGCUAGUGUUAUUCCCCAAGAUCGACAAGUUCGUGGAUGUGAACGCUAUUAGGAUUUUCUCUACUCUUAACCCUGUUCCGACUCUGUUGGGUGACACUUACUUUUCUUUGCAUAUGAGGAAUGCAAAGGGUGGUGGUACCAUUGUGUGUUGUUUGCCUCUGUUGUACAAGUGGUUUAUUUCUCACUUGCUGCAGACGGUCGCCUUCAAGGAGAACAAAGGAUGUCUACGGUGGUCCACGAGACUUAUGUCUCUCACCAAUGAUGAUAUCUUUUGGUACAACCGUGACCUUCAAGGAGAACAAAGGAUGUCUACGGUGGUCCACGAGACUUAUGUCUCUCACCAAUGAUGAUAUCUUUUGGUACAACCGUGUGUAUGAUGGUGUGCAGAUUAUCGACUCUUGUGGUGAAUUCUCUAAUGUACAUCUUCUUGGUACAUGUGGUGGGAUUAACUACAACCCUAUUUUGGCACGUCGUCAGCUUGGGUUCCCCCUAAAGGAUAAACCCAAUAACAUUCUGUUAGAGCGUGUGCUCUUUCAGGAGGGUAAAGAUCCCUAAGGCUUGAAGGGCAGGAUGGUCCACGCUUGGCGCAAGAUCCAUAGGAAAGGGAGGAAGGAGCUGGGUCCGAAGAACUGUAUCGCUUUGGAGCCUUAUACUUCUUGGGUUAGGAGGAGAGAUUCCGAAUACCUCAUGCCUUACGAGUAUCCGAGACCUACACCUUUGGUUUUGGCUAGGCCUUCAACCCUCCCUGACCAAGGAGUAGAGGAGUUGAGAGACGAAGACUGUUCACGUGCUUGGAUCCGUGAACGAGAGGAGUUGCUUCAGUAGAUCAGGGAGUAGGAUGCUUUGAUAGAGUUCCUUGAGCAUCAGGUUAUUGAUGAUCCUGAUGAUGCAUGGACUUCUCUACUUCCUCAGUCUUCCAAGUUUUGGAAAAGGAAGUACGAUCGACUUGCCAAAGAGAAGGCAGAUAUGGAGGCAGCCUACGAGAGGGAGGUGAAGAGGCUUCGUUCAUCUUAUCUUCCCAUCUCCCGAGCCUUAGAUGAUUGUUUCUAGGGAUCCAUAGGAUGUUAAUUUUCCUUCUCUCUUGUAUUACAUUUGGUUACCAAGACUGUACUUCUUUGGUGUAAAAAUAUUUCCAGAUAUUAUUGAUGAGAUAUUUCCAUAUGUGAUAAAUGUUUAAUAUUUCCAAUAUUUGCAAAUAGAACUCUAAAAGUUCCUCUGAUAAAUAAAAACAAAUCAUAUGCACAAGCAUUGCAUGCAUCAUNNNNNNNNNNNNNNNNNNNNNNNNNNNNNNNNNNNNNNNNNNNNNNNNNNNNNNNNNNNNNNNNNNNNNNNNNNNNNNNNNNNNNNNNNNNNNNNNNNNNGACCCUGCUAGAUUGGAGCAGAUAGGAAGAGCUUAGAAGUCUAUUGGUGUCCAGGAUGGAUCUGUCUUAGGGAAGAAGUUUGCCAUUGCUAUGCCUGAUUAUACUGAUUGGGUUAAGAAGAGAGUGGAAACUUUGUUAUUUCCCUAUGAUAGGAUGAACCUGUUGCAAGUGCAACCACCUUUGAUUCUUGCUGAGAGUGUACCUGCUGAGCGGUACAAGCAAUCCCUGAUGGAGAAUCGCUGAUUGAAGGAGAAAGAGCAAGAUGCCCAGAUGGAGUUGUAUCAAGCCAAAGCUGAUAGGUUGAACCUGACUCAUCAACUCAGAGACAUCCAGAGUGUAGAUGUUGGUGGAGUAAGGAGCAAGAAGAGUAUCUUAUGCAGAGAUGGAGAACUUGCUGAAUGCAGAGCACGCGAGAGUGUUUGAGAUUGCAGAGAGCUGAGGCCAUUAUCAGAAGAAGAUCAGAGAUUUGGAGAAGCAAACUCAGAGACAAAGAUAUCCAGUUGAAGAAGGAAGUCGACCAGAGACUUGCAUCAGAGAACCAACUGAGCGAGAAGUUGUAGAGCUUAGAAGACAGUUGAAGGAGAAGAUUACUCCCUUGCCAGAAUGUUCAGAGUGUGAACUGUUGAUAGACCAGUGUCACUACUUGAAGACGCUCAUUCCUGGAAGUCGUUUGUCUUAGCUUGUAUUUCUGAUGUAUAUGUUGAGAAUCACCCCCAGGCCUGUUGGGUGGGAUUCGUUGUUGUACUUUGAUGUAUCUGGAUCUUUGUUGACUUUGUUGUAUGAUCCUGUUGCUCAUUUAUAGAUGAGGUUGUUGGUUUCACUUUGUACUCAUUGCUCUUGUGUAUGUUGAUCCUGUGCUUCCUGUGUUGUUCUUGCUACAGGUUGCCAUCUUUUGAAGAUGAAUCAGGCUCUUUGAAUGCCUGAGGAAUGAACAUAUCAUGUGCAUCAUGUGCAUUAGCAUCAUACUCAUAUCAUAUUGCAUAACAGGUGUUCUUGCUCGUGACUUCUCACUCUGAUUCCUGUGUCAGGCAGGAUAGCUGAUCGAAGACCGCAUUGUUAUUCAACUAGACUCAAUCAACAGAGAACUAUGGAUCAGGUUCAGACCGAGUUGGAUGAGAUGAGGGCGAACAUGGCCCAAUUUAUGACGAUGAUGCAAGGGGUUGCGCAAGGUCAGGAAGAGCUUCGAUCCCUUGUUCAGAGACAAGAGACUGUGAUUCAGACGUCCAACCGUGCUUCGCCUGUUGUUGCACCUGCUCAUGAGAACGUUAAUGUUGCUGCUCCCGCUAACGACUAUGCCGUCGGGGAUGAGUUGAGGGGGAUAAGAAUUAAUGGACAGCCUCUUGCUGCAGAGACUGUCAAUGUCAGAGCUACCCGGGCUCCGAUUCAUCAUCAUGCUCCGAUUGUCGACAGACAAGAGGACAUGUUCACGCUGCUGAGUGAAGAUGAUGAAGUGGUCGGAAGAGUUGAGGAUAGGGAUCGUAAGGUUGAUGCCCUUGCUGAAAAGAUAAGAGCCAUGGAAUGUCAGAAUUCCUUGGGUUUCGAUGUGACCAAUAUGGGUCUAGUGGAAGGGUUGAGGAUCCCUUACAAAUUCAAGGCACCCUCUUUUGACAAAUACAAUGGUACUUCUUGCCCUCGCACCCAUGUGCAGGCUUAUUAUCGGAAAAUCUCUGCUUAUACCGAUGAUGAAAAGAUGUGGAUGUACUUUUUCCAAGAUAGUCUAUCUGGGGCUUCUUUGGACUGGUACAUGGAAUUAAAGAGAGAUUCUAUCCGAUGCUGGAGGGAUCUGGGUGAGGCCUUCUUGAGGCAAUAUAAGCAUAACAUGGACAUGGCGCCUAGCCGGACUCAGCUGCAGAGUCUAUGUCAGAAAUCAGGAGAAAGCUUCAAAGAGUACGCCCAGAGGUGGCGCGAAUUGGCUGCGAGAGUUCAACCCCCUAUGCUGGAAAGGGAGUUGACAGAUAUGUUUAUCGGUACUCUUCAGGGUGUGUUUAUGGACCGGAUGGGAAGCUGCCCAUUCGGUAGUUUUUCCGAUGUGGUUAUUUGUGGGGAGAGGACUGAGAGCUUGAUCAACGCUGGUAAGAUUCAAGAUGUUGGGUCCUCGUCUUCAAAGAAACCUUUUGCUGGGGCACCUCGCCGGAGAGAGGGUGAAACUAAUGCUGUUCAACACCACAAAAAUCAGAAUAGAAAUCAGUACCAUCAGAUUGCCGCAGUGACUAUUCCUGCACCUCAACAACGUCAACCUCCGCAACAACAGAGGGUUCAACAACAAAUGCCACAACAACAACAGGAACGUCCGUAUCAGCCGAGGCAGAGGAUGCCUGAUAGACGUUUCAAUCCACUACCAAUGACCUAUGCUGAGUUACUACCUGAGUUGUUCAGAUUAGGGUUCGUGGAACUGAGGACCAUGGCGCCAUUGACAAAAAUACCACCUGGGUAUGAUGCCAAUGUGCAUUGUGACUUUCAUUCUGCUGCGCCGGGACACCAUAUAGAGAACUGCAGGGCUUUUCAUCAUAAAGUCCAGGACUUGAUUGAUGCCAAGACUAUCAAUUUCACUCCUGUACCGAAUGUUGUAAAUAACCUUAUGCCUGCGCAUGAUGCUCACCGGGGUAACAGUAUUGAAGGGGCAGAGGUUGAAGAUUUGGUUGUCAGUGUGGACGAUGUUCAGACUUCUCUGUCAGUUAUCAAGGGCCGUUUGCUGAAUGGGGGUGUCUACCCGGGUUGUGAUAAAGACUGUGUUGCAUGUGCAGAAUCAGAUAAUGGGUGUGAUCAGUUGCAGGCCGGUAUUCAGAAGCUGAUUGACGAGGGUUGUGUCCAGUUUGUUCGGGCUGAUAGUAGAGAUCGUGGGGCAGUGUCAACUGUCACUAUCUUCUUUAAACCGUCUGAACAAGGUGGCCAGAGGGUUGUUAGUGCGCCUACAACAAGUGGUAAUCCUGUUACCAUCUCUGCACCCGUUACUGCCAGUAAUCCGCCAACAACAAUCGUUGCGCCAGUCAAACGGGCUGUGGACAGUAGGGUUGUGCCCUGGAAAUAUGAUAAUGCCUACCGUAGCAACAGAAGGGCUGAGAAUCGGGUCAAGCCAUCGAAUCAAGCGCCUGUAACAAUCGGUGUGCCAGUUAGUAGAGCUCCUGUGGUUAUGAGUCCCGUUGUGGACAAUGUUGGAGGUCCAGGAGGCUUUACUCGCAGUGGACGAUUGUUUGCUCCUCAACCGUUGAGGGAUGCCAAUGCUGAGGCUUCUGCUAAGUCGAAGGGAAAACAGGCUGUGGUUGACGAAGAACCGGCUCAGAAGGAUGUGCCUGAGGGUUCGUUUGAAAAGGACGUGGAGGAAAUUAUGAGGAUAAUUAAGAAGAGUGACUACAAGAUCGUAGACCAACUCAACCAAACUCCGUCCAAAAUUUCAAUUCUCUCUUUGCUGCUGUGCUCUGAGGCACAUCGUAACGCCUUGUUGAAGAUGCUGAAUAUGGCGUAUGUACCUCAAGAGAUAUCCGUCAACCAACUGGAGGGUGUGAUUGCCAACGUGAGCACCAGGCAUGGUUUAGGGUUCAUAGACCUAGACUUGACGCCUGAGGGUCGUAAUCAUAACAAGGCCUUGCAUAUCACUAUGGAGUGCUAGGGUGCUGUGUUAUCUCACGUGUUGGUCAACACCGGCUCGUCGCUGAAUGUCUUGCCCAAGCAAAUUCUGAAGAAGAUAUCUGUUGAAGGGGUUGUGCUUACUCCAAGUGACCUGAUAGUUCGUGCAUUCGACGGAUCCAAACGUUCUGUGUUUGGUGAAGUUACCUUGCUUGUGAAGAUAGGUCCAGAGGUGUUUGACAUCAUCUUCUAUGUUAUGGACAUUCAGCCCGCCUACAGUUGUUUGUUGGGGCGUCCAUGGAUCCAUGCAGCAGGGGCAGUCUCGUCGACUCUCCACCAGAAGCUCAAGUAUGUCUGGAACGGUCAGAUUGUGACCGUGUGUGGCGAAGAAGAUAUCUUGGUGAGUCACCUAUCCUCGUUCAAAUAUGUCGAGGUGGAUGGCGAGAUCCACGAAACUUUAUGCCAGGCGUUUGAGACUGUCGCUCUCGAGGGGGUGGCGUGUGCUGAUUAGAGAAAGCCAGGUGCUUCGAUUGCUUCGUACAAGCAGGCCAAAGAGGUUGUUGACUCUGGCGAGGCUGAAGGCUGGGGCAAGAUGGUGGAUUUGCCGGUCAAAAAGGAUAAGUUUGGUAUUGGUUAUCAACCUUUGCAAGCGGAGCAAGGUGGUCAAGCAGGUCCGAGUACCUUUACCAGCGCUGGGCUGAUGAAUCACGGUGACGUCUUUGCAGCCGAUGUUGAAGAUGGUGACAGUGAUUAUGAUCUCGACAACUGGGUUCGCCCGCGUGCACCAGGGGAGAUUAUCAACAAUUGGACAGCAGAGGAUGUAGUCCAAGUUACUCUUCAAACAGAGUAAUUUUCUUUUGUUUUUUCAUUCUGCACAAAACCCUACGUUCUGCCCAAGGCGUAGUGGUUCAUUGUAGGGCCACAUCAUGUUUUACAAUUUUUAUCAUUAAUAAAGGACGUUUUGCAAACAAUUUUGUGAUCCUUGUCUUUCUAUUUUUGUUUUUCACUUUUUCAAAAUAAAAAUGGCAAUGUUUUUGUUUUUGUGACUUUAUUGAACUCUUUUUCUAAAACCAAGCAUUAAACAUGCAGAAGUGAUUUCACGACAUCUACUAUGAACAGUUCUGUUAUGGCUCAGUAUGAUUUCAAUAAUCCCAUCUACCAAGCUGAAGAGGAGAGUGAGGAAGACUAUGAACUCCCUAAAGAAUUGGUCAGAUUGUUAAAGCAAGAGGAAAGGGUCAUCCAACCUCAUCAGGAGGAGUUGGAGAUUGUUAAUCUUGGUAUUGAGGACGCCAGAAGAGAUAUCAAGAUCGGGGCUGCUUUGAAGACAGAGGUCAAGAGAAGAUUGAUUGAGAUGCUGAGAGAGUAUGUGGAGAUAUUCGCCUGGUCUUAUCAAGAUAUGCAUGGGCUGGAUACUGAUAUUGUGGUGCAUAGACUACCUCUCAGAGAUGAUUGUCCUUCGGUCAAGCAGAAGCUUCGUAGAACGAGUCCUGAUAUGGCAGUUAAAAUCAAGAAAGAGGUUCAGAAGCAGUUCGAUGCUGGUUUCUUGUCAGUAACCACUUAUCCCCCGUGGGUGGCCAACAUCGUUCCCGUGCCGAAGAAGGAUGGCAAAGUCAGAAUGUGUGUCGAUUACCGGGAUUUGAACAGAGCGAGUCCGAAAGAUGAUUUCCCAUUACCUCACAGUAUUGUAUGGAUAAUACGGCUCAAUACUCGGUAUUUCUUUUCAUGGAUGGUUUUCUCGGAAGAUGGCGCCAGAGGACAUGGAAAAGACGACAUUCAUUACACCUUGGGGCACGUUCUACUAUAAGGUGAUGCCAUUUGGGCUGAAGAAUGUCGGUGCUACCUAUCAGAGGGCUAUGAGGACUCUCUUUCAUGACAUGAUGCACAAAGAGAUUGAAGUGUACGUGGAUGAUAUGAUUGCGAAGUCGCAGACGGAAGAGGAGCACCUGGUUAAUUUGCAGAAGUUGUUUGAUAGAUUGGUAAAGUUCAAACUGAGGCUGAAUCCGAACAAAUGUACGUUUGGCGUGAGAUCAGGGAAGCUGUUAGGCUUCAUUGUCAGUGAGAAAGGGAUUGAGGUUGAUCCAGCAAAAGUCAAAGCUAUUCAAGAAAUGCCUGAACCAAGAACAGAAAAGCAGGUUCGUGGGUUUUUAGGGAGACUGAACUACAUUGCAAGGUUUGUAUCUCACUUAACUGCCACGUGUGAACCGAUAUUCAAAUUGCUUAGAAAGAAUCAAGCGAUCAGGUGGAAUGAUGAUUGUCAGAAAGCUUUUGACAAAAUUAAAGAGUAUUUACAGAAACCUCCGAUCCUAAUACCUCCAGUUCCAGGGAGACCGCUGAUAAUGUACCUGUCAGUAACCGAGAACUCAAUGGGGUGUGUAUUGGGACAACAUGACGAGGUUGGUCGAAAAGAGCAUGCAAUAUACUACCUUAGCAAAAAGUUUACCGACUGUGAAAUCAAAUAUUCACAGCUUGAGAAAACUUGUUGUGCUUUGGCAUGGGCUGCUCGCCGACUGAGGCAGUAUAUGUUGAACCAUACUACCUUAUUCCGACUGUGAAAUCAAAUAUUCACAGCUUGAGAAAACUUGUUGUGCUUUGGCAUGGGCUGCUCGCCGACUGAGGCAGUAUAUGUUGAACCAUACUACCUUAUUGAUUUCUAAGAUGGAUCCAGUGAAGUACAUCUUUGAGAAGCCGGCUCUCACCGGACGUGUUGCUCGAUGGUAGAUGACUUUAACAGAAUAUGAUAUCCAGUACACGUCGCAGAAGGCCAUCAAAGGUAGUGUUUUGUCAGACUAUCUCGCCGAGCAACCGAUCGAAAAUUAUCAGCCGAUGAUGUUUGAAUUCCCUGAUGAAGACAUCAUGUAUCUUAAGAUGAAAGAUUGUGAAGAGCCUCUUGUCGAGGAAGUAUCGGAUCCUGAUGACAAGUGGACACUGAUGUUUGAUGGGGCUGUGAAUGUAAACGGUAAUGGUGUUGGUGCAGUGCUGAUCAAUCCUAAAGGUGCUCAUAUACCUUUUUCUGCCAGAUUGACUUUUGACGUCACCAACAAUGAAGCUGAGUAUGAGGCUUAUAUCAUGGGGAUAGAAGAAGCCAUUGAUUUGAGGAUCAAAACGCUUGACAUCUAUGGAGAUUCCGCUCUAGUGAUUAAUCAGGUCAAUGGAGAUUGGAAUACUAACCAACCGCAUUUGAUUCCCUAUAGAGAUUACACCAGAAGAAUACUGACGAUCUUCAAGAAGGUGAAGUUGUAUCAUGUCCCCUGGGAUGAGAAUCAGAUGGUUGAUGCCUUGGCUACUUUGUCUUCUAUGAUCAAGGUUCAUUGGUUGAAUCAUGUGCCACAUGUUGCGGUGAAUCGACUCGAGAGGCCUGCGUAUGUGUUUGCAGCCGAGUCUGUUGUUGUUGAUAAAAAGCCAUGGUAUUAUGAUAUCAAGAACUUCCUCAAGAGCCAGGAAUAUCCUGAAGGUGCAUCGAAGAACGACAAGAAAACCCUGAGAAGGCUAGCUGGAAGCUUUUAUUUGAAUCAGGAUGAUGUGCUGUAUAAGAGAAACUUUGACAUGGUCUUGCUCAGAUGCGUGGAUAGACACGAAGCAGACAUGUUGAUGCAGGAAGUGCAUGAAGGUUCGUUUGGUACCCAUGUUGGUGGUCAUGCAAUGUCGAAGAAACUGUUGAGAGCCGGUUAUUACUGGAUGACUAUGGAAUCCGAUUGUUUCAAGUANNNNNNNNNNNNNNNNNNNNNNNNNNNNNNNNNNNNNNNNNNNNNNNNNNNNNNNNNNNNNNNNNNNNNNNNNNNNNNNNNNNNNNNNNNNNNNNNNNNNNNNNNNNNNNNNNNNNNNNNNNNNNNNNNNNNNNNNNNNNNNNNNNNNNNNNNNNNNNNNNNNNNNNNNNNNNNNNNNNNNNNNNNNNNNNNNNNNNNNNNNNNNNNNNNNNNNNNNNNNNNNNNNNNNNNNNNNNNNNNNNNNNNNNNNNNNNNNNNNNNNNNNNNNNNNNGACAUGUUAAUGCAGGAAGUUCAUGAAGGUUCCUUCGGUACUCAUGCCGGCGGACAUGCAAUGGCUAAGAAAUUGUUGAGAGCGGGUUAUUACUGGAUGACUAUGGAAUCCGAUUGUUUCAAGUAUGCUCGGAAGUGCCAUAAGUGUCAAAUUUAUGCUGAUAAGGUGCAUGUACCACCAAGCCCUCUGAAUGUCAUGAAUUCGCCUUGGCCGUUCGCCAUGUGGGGCAUUGAUAUGAUUGGGAAGAUUGAGCCUACUACUUUGAAUGGACAUCGCUUCAUCCUGGUUGCGAUUGAUUACUUCACCAAGUGGGUGGAAGCAACUUCCUAUGCUAAUGUUACCAAACAAGUGGUUGCCUGGUUCAUCAAGAAGGAAAUCAUCUAUCGUUAUGGAGUUCCUGAGAGAAUCAUCACUGAUAAUGGUUCGAAUCUCAAUAACAAGAUGAUGAAAGAGCUUUGCAGAGAUUUCAAGAUCGAACACCACAAUUCUUCUCCUUACAGACCAAAGAUGAAUGGUGUUGUAGAGGCGGCAAACAAGAAUAUCAAGAAGAUUGUGCAGAAGAUGGUCGUGACGUACAAGGAUUGGCAUGAGAUGCUGCCUUUCGCUUUGCAUGGGUACCGUACCUCAGUAUGUACAUCGACCGGGGCAACCCCGUACUCCCUUGUGUAUGGUAUGGAAGCAGUCCUACCUGUUGAAGUAGAGAUCCCUUCUCUGAGGGUUUUGUUAGAUGUUAAGCUGGAUGAAGCCGAGUGGAUUCGAACAAGGUUUAACGAGUUAAGCCUUAUCAAAGAGAGACGGAUAGCAGCUGUGUGCCAUGGGCAGUUAUAUCAGAGAAGGAUGAAGAGAGCCUUUGAUCAGAAAGUGCAUCCUCGAAGCUAUCAGAUUGGUGAUCUAGUCUUGAAGAGGAUCCUUCCUCCCGGUACAGAUAACAGGGACAAGUGGACUCCUAAUUAUGAAGGUCCAUAUGUUGUGAAGAAGGUCUUCUCUGGUGGAGCCUUGAUGCUUACAACUAUGGAUGGUGAAGAUUUUCCGUCCCCUGUUAACUCAGAUGUAGUCAAAAAAUACUUCGCAUAAAUUGACCCGCUGGACAAAAAGAAUAAAAGAGUCCAGGCAAAAAAGGGCAUCCCGGCGAACCAAAAAGCAGAAAGAAAAGGUUCGGGCAAAAAUUAGGGAAAAAUGAAAAGAAUUUGUACACCCGGUAAGUCGAAAACCCGCAAGGGCGACUUAGGCAAAAACGGGUAUCCCGGUGGAUUGAAAACCCGAAAGGGCGAUCCAGCCAAAAGAGGGAUUAAAGUGAAGACUACAGUCUGAGUUAUCUGUACUUCAUCGCGCUUCGUUGUCUGCCAUCUCGAAAGAUGUGAUCGGUCCAGUCAUUCUUCUCAGAAAGCAAGGAGUUGGGAGAAAAGCUGAUGAUCUGUGAGUUAUAACAGAAUUGGGAAAUAGUGGAUGCCGUGUUCACAUUGCCAUUAGGAUAGAUUUUUCCUUUUGUGCGCAAUUACCUCUUUCUAGGAAUUGCUUCCCAAUGUAUUCGCCUUUUCAGGCCCAUUUUCCAAUCAAUAAAAGUCGUUAUUCAGAUAAAUAGCUCUCCUAUUUUUAUUUUACCAUUUUGUUUGCAAAAACGUCCGAAUUUUUGAUAAACAUUGCAUAUAAAAACAUGAAGGCUAAACAAUAACUUGCAGAAAGAUAAAACAUUUGAAAAUCAUUUUGAAUGUUGAGGACACUUGAGCGUAUCUUGUCCAUGUAUCCCCUGGGGCAUUUUGUUGUGCUGUUUUGCAGGUUGUCAUUAAUAAAGGACGUUUCCACAACAGAUAUUUCCCAGGAAAGUAUGGAAGCUGUCAGUAUGUUCCCCUGCAGAGACGCCUUUGGAUAUUGUCUUCUAUCCUCAGCAGAUCUAGGGAUUGCUUAUUCCCAGCAGGCCUGGAAGUGGGUGUAUUCCCCAACAAAUAUUUCCCCAUUUGAGAUCCCCACUGAGUAUGAAGGGUGUGGUAUUCCCAGCGGAGGUGUCAGUGGAGUGUUGUUCCCUAGUAGUCGGGUUUGAAGUACUGUUAUCCCCAGCGUGGUCGUGAGCGCUCAUCCCUAGCAGGGUUGUGUAUGUCUCUCCCCAGCACAAAGUCUGAUAUAUUACUUUCCCCGCCAGCGUUUUGCUCUCCCUCAACAGAGUUGGUGUGUUACCCCAGACAGAGUUGCUUUUUCCAGCGGAUCUCCCGAGCAGAGGUUUGUGUUGAUGAUUUCCCUCAGCGAAGCCCCGAGUGGAGCGGGUUCAAAGAAAUUUAUCUCUAGCAGAGCUUAUCCCACCUGUGGAUUGGAUGAGUUUUCUGUAGCGGAAUGGUAUCUGCAUCCCCAAGCUGAGUCUAUCCUACCUAUGGAUCGGAGGAGCGCCCCCAGCGGAGUAGCAUCUAUUUUCCAAAGCAGAGUUUAUCCUAUUUGUGGAUUGGUUGGCUUUCCCCAGUGAAGUCGCCUGAUUACCCCUAGCAAAGUCGAUUUGUUACUCCCCCCAGCGAGUUGCCUUGUUUACUUUCCCCGGUGGAGUAGUAUUGUUGGUUCCUCAGCGCCGUCGCCGUUGGGUAGUCCUCAGCAAAGUCGCUUUGUUUGUUUCCCCAAGCGGAGUCCCCGAGUGGAUUGGGUCCUAUGAAGGAUGUCCCCAGCGGAGUCUAUCCUUUCCCCAGCAUCAGUGUUAUUUCUCCAGCACGAGUGAGAAGUCGGUGCUCUCCCCGCAGAGUAUUCCUCAAGCAGAGUCUCCCCACAGAGUUGGAGUAUCUGAUCCUCUGGUUCCUGAAGUCGGUGCUCUCCCCGCAGAGUAUUCCUCAAGCAGAGUCUCCCCACAGAGUUGGAGUAUCUGAUCCUCUGGUUCCCCAGCCAGAGUUUAUCAUUUUGCAUGUAGUAAUCAUUGCAUCCUCAAAAUGCGUAGCAUUUCCAUUCAAUAGGGAGCAUUACGCCAUAGAAAAAUUCAAACAUAUGCAUUCAUGUGUUAACCAGUCAGACCUUAUCCCCGGCAGAGGCGGAUGUUCAACAUGUGUACGACACGUUUGCUACAGUUGCCCCUGACAGCAUUCAGGAUUGAUACCCCAGAGUGGUUUAUUUCCUCAUCCGUUGGUGAAAGGAAAGCCUGUUUUAUCCCCAGUGAGAUCCCCUACAAGUGUUUAGCCUUGCCCCGACAUAUAUAGAUGUCUUCUCGUGAUACUGGUCAGUGUCAUGUCAGCGCCCACGUGUGUUAUUUCUUUGGUGUCGGUAAACACCAUCUUUCGGUGUACACAUCGAGUCUUUCCCAGUCAUUCGUUGAUGUCUGGUCUUCUUUUGAUGUCGGUAAACAUCAUCUCUCGAUGUUCGUAACACCCUUUACCCCCCAGAGGUUACCUCUCUGUUGGUUUCGAUAAACGUUGAGUUUUUUCUAGUCGUCCGUAGGCGUCUAGUUGGAUUUUCCCCAAUAAAGAGUCACCUUUCUCCGUUGGUGUCGAUAAACGUCGAGUUUUCCUAUGCGUCCGUUGACGUAUAGUUGCUUAUUCCCCACAGAUCAUUUGUUAAUGACUGUUGAUUCCCCUCAGAGUUACCUCUCCGUUGGUUUCGAUAAACGAUGAGUAAAAGGGUUAGCAGGCAACUACUAACCAACACAAGUGAAAAGGGGUAAAGAUUUACCUCUCCGUUGGUUUCGAUAAACGCUGAGUUUUUGCCUAUGCGUCCGUUGACGUGUAGUUGCUCUCCACAGAAUCACCUCUCCGUUGGUUUUGGUAAACUUUGAGUUUUUCUCAUUCGUCCGUUGACGUCUGAUUGUAUAUCCUAUUCCCCAGUCAUUCGUUAAUGUCUGGUUGGUUCCCAGCCAGAAUCCCCAGUAGAGUCGUCGGUGGACGUUCUAUUCGGUUUCCGGUUGUUGUAUCCCUUCCUUGGUCGAGUGGUCUCCUUCUCCGUUGGUGUCGAUAAACGUCGAGCUUCUCCCGUUCAUCCAUUGACGUCUGGUCGAGUUGUCUCCUUCUCCGUUGGUGUCGAUAAACGUCGAGCUUCUCCCGUUCGCCCGUUGACGUCUGGUCGAGUUUUCUCCUUCUCCGUUGGUGUCGAUAAACAUUGAGCUUCUCCCUUUCGUCCGUUGACGUCUGGUCGAGUAUUCCCAUUCAUCCGUUGAUGUCUGGUUACCUCUCCGUUGGUUUCGAUAAACGUCGAGUUUUUCCCAAUCGUCCGUUGAUGUUUGGUUGUGAUUAGCUUUUUCCCUAGUAAGUCUCCUUCUUCGUUGGUGUCGAUAAACGUUGAGCUUCUCCUUCUCCGUUGGUGUCGAUAAACGUUGAGCUUCUCCUUCUCCGUUGGUGUCGAUAAACGUUGAGCUUCUCCUUCUCGCAACCACAGCUAUUUGCAUGAGCUUCUCCUUCUCCGUUGGUGUCGAUAAACGUUGAGCUUCUCCUUCUCCGUUGGUGUCGAUAAACGUCGAGCUUCUCCCGUUCGUCCGUUGACGUCUGGUCGAGUCUUCCCAGUUCAUCCCUCGUCCGUUGAUGUUUGGUCACCUCUCCGUUGGUUUCGAUAGACGUCGAGUUUUUCCUGGUCGUCCCCAGUAGAGUUACCUCUCCGUUGGUUUUGGUAAACGUUGAGUUUUUCCCAUGUCGUCCGUUGACGUAUGGUUGUAUCUCUUUCCCAGUCAUUCGUUAAUGUCUGAUUACCUCUCCGUUGGUUUCGAUAAACGUCGAGUUUUUCCUAGUCGUCCGUUGACGUCUAGUUGUGAUUUCUAUUCACAUUCGUUGUCUUGUGAGGUCUGGAUGUGACAGUACCUUUGGAAGAGAAAAAACCAAAAUCCCCAGUAAUAAAUAUCAGAUCCCAGUGGACGUUUCUGUUGGUGGCUCCCCGCAGUGUGCAAAUUUCUACGGUUCUUGGUAUUCAAUCCCUGUUUACCCUGAAGGUCUGACAGCCGUUGCUCUCAUCCGUUCGGGUUCCCAAUUGAUUGAAUAGGGGCAGCUGUAGCACCUCAAAUUUGCACCUCCCAUUUUGUAAAUACAUUUUCAUUUUAGGUCAUUAACAUAACAUUGUCCACUGCAUAGCAUUGCAUUGUCCUUUGCCUAAGUGCAAGUCAUCAGUCAAGACUGGUCAGGAGAUCCAGUCAAGCAAGCAAGCAAGUGCAUUCUCUUUUGAAGCAAAGCCCUAAGGUUGGUUCAACAUGUUCAUAUGAUCUAGGGAUCAUUUUUAAGUGGUUUGGCCAAGGAUUGGAUGAUCAAAGCUCAACAGUCAAGCUGAAUUUCAUCUGAAACCCUAGAAGGUCAACUGUGGUCAACUGUGCAUGAAAUCAUGGAUUUGAAGGUAGGAGAUGGUUAGAGAGGCCUCAUUCAUGACCAUACAAGUCUCAUUUGACAUUUCAAAGAUCAACAUUGAAGAAUUUGAGGUCAGAAGAAAAGUUUCCAAAAAUAGUAAGUGACCUGUAAUUUCAAACUGCCAAAAAUGGAAAGGUCUUCUCCUCAAAUUUACAUGUCCAAGCAAGCUUCAAAUGGAAUUUUGUCCAACAUGAGAGUUGAAGAUCUUUCUCUCACCUUUCCAAAAAGUCCAAGAACAUCCAUUUCUCAUGUGUGGUUGAAGAAUUAUGAUCAAAUCAUUGUCAAUGGAUUUUGAACUUCAAACUUGGAUAACUUUCACACCACAAGGCCAAAUGGAGUGGGGUUUUUUGCUACAAUAUUGUUUUAACAUGCUCUAUCCAAAUCACGCAUUACCAUUCAUCAAAAAUCAUCACAAAAGUAUUGCAUGUUCCAUGUGAUUUGAAUUUGGAAUUUGGAGGGAAAAGUUUAUUUUCAAAAAUAUGCAUUUUCCACACAUAAUUUCACUUGCCUUUGCCUCCAAAUGACAUUUUGAGUUGAAUUGCAAAGAAAAACGUGUACUGUAGCAGCAUUUCCAUGCACAUGAGGUGGAUUAGCAAUUUUGCAUCACACUUGCAUUUCACUUAAAUUCAUUUGCAUUUGGCUAAUUAGGAUUAAGGUCUUGAUUAACAGCACAUAUAAAACAAUAAUCCUAACUGAAUUCAGGAUUAACACAUCAUUUGCACCAGAUCUAGAUCCAAUCACAAGAAUUGCACAAACUUUUUCUCUCCAUUUUUCUGCAAAUUUUCUCAUAGAACUUGCAUUGUUCUUGCUCGAUCCUUGAUGCACCAUCAUACACGCAUGAGUUCGUUAGGGUUUAGUUUCCAGAAGUGUUUUGAUCCGCCUGGCCGUGUUUUUGCAUGAAUUUUGUUGUUUGUGUGCCAUGCACCAAUCACAGCGCGCCACCUCACUUAAUGAAACGACGCGUUUCAUUAAGUGAGCGCUGGAUUUGAACUCAAGCACGGUUCGAUUCCGGCUCCAAGCAUUUCUCACUUUUGGGUUUUGCAUUUUCUUCAUCAUGCUACACAUAUUUCACCAUACCUCAUUCAUGCAUUUUUAAUUUUUCUCCACAUUUAAAAAUUCAUAACUCCUAAACUAUUAAUCCAAUUCACAUGGGAUUUUUUGUUCCAUGAUCCUUGCCAUGUCUACUAUUUUGUGGUGAUUUUUCCAAAUUUAUGCACGUGUGGAUUUUUAUUUUGGCUAGUGAAUGUUCAUACAUGUGUUUUGUUGCAUAAUGCUUGUUAUUUUGGUUGUGAAAUGGUGAUGCUUAAUCCAUUGAGGCUGAAAUUUUGCAUGUGUAAACUAGAGACCUUUAGGGAUUUUUUGGUAUAGAGUUUGUGAUUUUAUCAUUUCUGGUUGUGGAGAUAUGCUAUGAUGAAUGAAGGUGUGACAAUGUGUGUCACUGUAUAGAGUUUGUGAUUUUAUCAUUUCUGGUUGUGGAGAUAUGCUAUGAUGAAUGAAGGUGUGACAAUGUGUGUCACACCAUUUCUUGUCCAACUUGUUGAUUUUAUUUUCCAUGCCAUUCAUUUGCAAAAUACUCUGAAUUUUUGCAUGUUGACUCUUCUGGAUGUUAUGUUUGAGUAUGAAUAUUUAUAGAAUUUUUGAGUGCAUUUCCAAUUUGUUUGAGAUUUUCUCUUCUGUUUGACCAUUUGUGGACUUUUUGUGAGUCAUGAUCUUAUAUGAUUUGUGAAAUUCUUGAGGUUUAUUGGAUGGACUUGAAAUUUUUCACAUAUAUUCUAGACACACUGAAGUUUGUCAUGGCUUUGGGUUGAUGUCCAUAUCAUGUUUGGAUUCUGUUUUAUGCUUGUUUGAAGUUGAUGCAUGAUUUUGUGCCUUGUAUGAGCUUGUUUUGCCUUGCCUUGAAUUAUGGAUUUUAUUUGAUAUGCUUCCCUUUUUCCAAAUGACAUGAAAUUUGGUGUGUGGAUCAUGUGAUGAGUUCUGUUUAACCAUGAUGUUUCUGGAGAUUUAUUGAAUUGUUUUUGAGUUGAUGUGGAUUGAAUCACUCUGUUUGGUUCUAUGAGCUUCAAAUUGCAUGCUUUGCCUUCUUUGCCUCAUGAAAUGAAAUUGGUACAUGAUAUGAAUAUGAGACCACUUGGAUUUGUUUCUUAUUGGAUUAAACUUGAUUCUUACCAAUUUUCAUGUUCUGUUUUGGUUUAUUUCUCCCAUUUUGACCCUAGGCCUUGUCCUAGUGGUUAGUGCUUAAUGUUUGAGCUUUGUUUCAGGUCAAAGAGCACAAUUGCUUAUACUUGAUGAUGUGCUCUUGAUGAUGUGCACUCAAUUGGAGUUGGUCCAUUGCUUGUUUAUGACUAACCUUGAGUUUGUUUUGUAGGCUUUGAGACUUGUACUUGGGCCUUGUGGCUUGCACCUUUGUGCAUUGCUUUGCUUGAUUGUUGUUUGACUGUGUGCAGUUAACUGUUGACCAUUGUCUGUUUUACUUUUGUUUGAGUUGAGUACUGAUUAUGUUGGAUUGUUUUCAGGUACCUUAGUUGCUAUAGUUCCUUUGUGAACUUGCUUUUGCUUUGCUUUAUAGCUUGAGCAUUGAGGUAUAAUGACUCUAACUUCAUGUAGUCUGGAAGACCUGGCCUGUUACUUGGCCAGGCACCUGUCUGAAGUCCUCCUUAAGAGGCAAUGCUUGUGAUUGUUUAUAUUUGUCCCCAAGCAAGAAAAGACCUUUGAUAAGGCAAUUGGCAGAUACAAGAGAUGUGCAAUCCAUCUUCUGCUAUUCAGUUGAGUCAUCCCUUUGCUCACACACCUUGUGUUGAUGCAUUGUGGAUAUUAACCCAAGAUCCUUGUACAGUUGUGUCAGUCAUAAUUGGCAGAUACAAGAGAUGUGCAAUCCAUCUUCUGCUAUUCAGUUGAGUCAUCCCUUUGCUCACACACCUUGUGUUGAUGCAUUGUGGAUAUUAACCCAAGAUCCUUGUACAGUUGUGUCAGUCAUAAGUGUAGAAGGGUUCCAACUUUCUGAACCCACACUUUCAUCUGUCUAAAGCUCUCCCAGGCCAGGGAUAAGAGCUGUGAGGCACAUCCCUUACUUCCUAUUUCAUCUGCUUCACCCUAACUCUCAAUGUUAGGGUUAAGAGCUAACAUCACCAUGAUACAGUGGCUUGUUUGUCAAGGUUGACAUGACCCCUCGACUAAAGCCUAGCCUUGAUGUUUGAGCCCCUUGUUGGUGUGUUUACUUCAUGCUGUAUAAGUUUGUGUGGUGUGAUUGUAUCCCCUAGGUGCUAGACUCCGCGUAGUCUCGUUUGCAUGUCAAUUAAGGUAGCACGGUUCCUUCGUAUAGGACUUCCUUUCUUGCUUGAGCUUUCCUAAAACACAAAUUCCCCUAGGUGCUAGACUCCGCGUAGUCUCGUUUGCAUGUCAAUUAAGGUAGCACGGUUCCUUCGUAUAGGACUUCCUUUCUUGCUUGAGCUUUCCUAAAACACAAACAAACAUUAUCCCCUCUUAACGAUACGUCCACUCCUUCUACUACAAGUGAGUAAGUCUCCAAAGGUCGAGCAUCCGGUAGAUUACGUAGUGACGUCGUCCACUUAAAAAACACAAACCAAUAAGAAUAGUUUAGCCGAACUACGGCAACUCUGAUUCUCACAUCCAGAUGAGAUACGUAGGCACGAGAUGCGAUGUCUUGUCGAAUUUGACUGACGACUAACACUAACUCUUUUCUCUCGCCCUCGUUGCGAUUGAUACCUUCCCUUUCUCUUGCCCUAGUUGCAAUCGAGACCCUUCUUCUUCCUGUGUUGGUGUGGAGUCUGACGUAAGUCCAGCGAUUGGCAGUCGGUUUCCUGUUGGCGUGUUGGAGUCUGGCAUAAGUCUAGCGAUUUGCAGUCGGUUUCCCGUGUGGUUUUGUUUGGCGUGCGUUAGCCGAGCUACGAGUGCUCUGAUUCUUCUUUAGUCCGAGAAGAUACGUAUGCAUAGGAUGCGACAUCCUAGCGAGCAUGUUUUCCCCUAGUCCGAACUACGUCUGCCGAGCUACGAGUGCUCUGAUUCUUCUUUAGUCCGAGAAGAUACGUAUGCAUAGGAUGCGACAUCCUAGCGAGCAUGUUUUCCCCUAGUCCGAACUACGUCGACUCUGAUGUCUAUGCCUGAUAGAAUACGUAGGCCCAGGAUGCGAUAUCCUGCCGAGUUAGUGUCGUUUGUUUUCUUGUGUCUCUUUCAGCCAGUGUGUUUGUUUGUGAGCAGUUUUUAGCAACCAUAUUCCUUCCUUUUGUGUGUGGAUCCCGUCGAGUACGACGGAUGCGUAGGGGUGUUAAUACCUUCCCUUCGCAUAACCGACUCCCGAUCCUAUUCUCUUUGGUCGCGAGACCAUGUCUUUUCCAAGUUUACUUCGAGCGUUUCCUUUCCCUCCUUUGGGAUAAAUAACGCACGGUGGCGGCUCUGUUGUUCUAUUUUCCCGCCGGUUUUUUGCGUAAUGCGACAAGAGGGUGGCCAUUGAAACCACAAAAAAAAGCAUUUGAAUGAGUGGUAUUUACCAAUGAAAAGUAUGUACAAAAUAUGGUCAAAGUUGACUUAGAAGUUCAAUUCAAAAUAAGUGUUAUGAAAAGAAAGUUUGAAAAUCAAAAGCAUUAAGGCUUAGGUUAUCUAAUCGUUGAAAAGCAAGGUGUUAAUGUUGCCACAUAAGUCUUUGGCGGAGUUAGCAGUGGGAGAGAAAGAAAGAAAAGGCUAAAGUCCUAAGCAUCACAAGAGGUUAAGGGACAAGAAGCCAAAACCACAAUGAGUUCUCUCUACAUCUAUAUGAUGAUCCAGGUAUCUCCCAUCCUUUGGAAUAAGCAAGUCACUAAGCAUAAACUCAAAGCAAUCAACAAUCAGUGAACCCUUGGAAAGUCCUCAAUCAUUUUGGUCUCUCUUCUCUUUGGAAGGCUCAUGGUAAUGGUUCUCAAUUGGAUCAAGUUGGAAUCCCUAGCACAAACAACGCACAUAAAACAUCUAGCACAACAAAACAAUGGAAGGACAAGAAGGUAUUAGAAGGUUGGUCUUUCAAGGUCAUCUUUCAAUUAACAUUCUAAAGGCCAAUGCCUAGUGCUCUUUGACUUUUAUAGCACUCAAAGGCACAAUGCCUAGUUUCUCUUUGACUCCAAUUUGCAUCAGGGAAAGUCCUAAAGCGUAAGUCCUUUGUCCAUUUAUUUUACAUUUGGUCCACAACAAUCAAAACAAACACAAAGCAACAUAAGUAUAUACACAUUAUAUGCUCAAGUGAGCAAAGAAAAUUGCAUUACAUAAAGGCACACAUGAGCAAAGGAAAAGCAAUUAAUAAUAUGUACAAAUAGUAAAUUGCAUAAUGUAAAGUGCAAAAGUAUGUGUUAGGGCUUAAGAUUAGUGUAGUAGUUAGUGUGGCCAUAAGGCAAAUUUAGCGCUAUGUUAAGCAAUCGUAAUUGACUUAUGUGAACGUCACAAACUAUCUGAGGCCGGUCAAUAAUAAUGUAGGCAACAACACAAGUUAGAAGUCUUGAUUAGUGAACUAAGUUCCAACAACUUGCCAUGCCAAAAGAAAAAAGAGAAUUGAUCUUGUAUUGGUUUAAGACCUUUGCAUGGUUUAGGAAACAACCUAUCCUUAAUUCAAAGCCAUUCACUUGAUCAAUUGAUCAAGAUGAAUUAGAUUUGAAUAAAGGAAGAUUAAGUCUUCCUAAUCAAUGCUAACUUUUCAACCUUUAACUCAUUGAUAAAAAAUAAAUAAGAAGAAGAAGGAGAUGAAUAAUGGAUAAUGAAAAUGGAAAGAAGUAAGUGCAUUAAAUGAAAUGGAAUGUACCAAUCAACAAGUGUUGACCAAUGACAUUGAGGAUCAUGGUCAAACUAUAAAAAAAACAGAAGUAGGAUGAAGAUUGGAAAUCAAGAAAAUGAACAAAAUAUUUUUGGCAUUUUUAAUAUUCAAAAUAAACUUGAAUUAAAAUAUUAAAGAAAGGUCAAACUUCAAAAUCAAUUCAAAUCAACUUUGAAAAGUCCAGGUGAUUUAUCCCAAGUUCAACAAGGUCAAACAAAGUUUGACAAAAAAAUUCAGCAUUUUUAUAAGUCAGAAACUAUUUUUAAUCAAUUAAAAUGAAUAAAAAUAACCUAAUUGAACUAAAUUCUCAAAUAAAUCUCAAAUCAAUUAAUAAAUUGAUGAGAAUAUUUUUCAUAGAUCCAUCAUCAUUCAAAUAGGUUAGGAAAAUAUUUUUGUAUUUUUUGAAUAUUAAAAACUAUUUAAAAUGAAUUANAGGUUAGGAAAAUAUUUUUGUAUUUUUUGAAUAUUAAAAACUAUUUAAAAUGAAUUAAAAAUAACCAGAAAAGAGAAAAUUCAUAAAAAAUAUCUAAUGACAAAAUAAAAAAUAUUAAAAAUCAUUUUUAUAAACUAGAAUUUAAAUGGAGAAGAAUGCAAUUGGUCCCAUAUUUUUUGGAAUAAAAAUGAAGAAGUUAUUAAUUUUUGAAAAUAAAUGGAAUAAAAUAAAUUAAAACAGAAAUUAGAAAAUCAAAAAAAACCAUAGGCGUCUGAUCAAGCCUCAUUAAUUGACGUGGCUGACCAGACGGAUGUGAGAUGUGCGCUCAUGGUGAGUCCAAGUCAAAUGCGUCACACCUGGCAUUAAAGCAAGUAAUCCAAACGCAUGGAUGAGAUUAAAACGUGGGAGAUGCAUCCAAUGGUCCAGAUUCAAUCUGGCAUGGUGGACGGUGGCCGGCGCCACCGUCUUCUCUGGCGAGCACUCAAGCUCCGGCCAGAGUUGCAGGUCCUCAAAACUCAACCAAAUCUCACGAUCCAGGUACCAAAUUAAAGCGAGGAUGAUGUACAUUACCCCUGUGCCAUCUAUUCCUACUCUAGAUCUUCAUAGUGAGAGAAAUCAGAGGUUGAAACUUGAUGGUGUUCAUCAUGAACUUGCUCGAUUUUGAAAAUUGAGCAUACAUCAAUGAUGCCUCUAUAGAGAGGACUUCAGACAACACAAUAGCCAGGCAAAUAGAUCAAAGAUUAAGGAGUUUCGAAGAGAAAACCAGUUGAUGAAAACCUUUGAACUGUGGAGCUUUGAGUGACUUUCCUUGCUUCCUCUUGCUAAACAGAAUUUCUAUGUACUGGAUGAUGAAGGUUUAGGAACUUUAGAUCUGAAGAUUCAACCCAAUUCAGUUGAAUUUCAGAUCUGAAAUUUUAAAGAAAUGUGAACUAGUUCCUUUAGGUAUGGUUGGGGAUUCAAUUGUGCAGCAUAUCAGGCGCCUUCAGGUUGAGAUUUGAUGGAGGUAUGCACCUCUAUUUAUAACUGGAAUUGGCUGAGCAAGUGAGUUUCCUCGUGUGCAUGGCAAGUGGAUUUUCCUUGCAUGGGCUUGCAUGAUCAUGUAGAAGGCCCAAACUCAAUUGCAUUUGCAUGCUGAUGACCAAACAACUUGUGUGAGUUUCCUCGUGUGCAUGGCAAGUGGAUUUUCCUUGCAUGGGCUUGCAUGAUCAUGUAGAAGGCCCAAACUCAAUUGCAUUUGCAUGCUGAUGACCAAACAACUUGAAAUGGACGUGUAGUUGGAAAUGCAUAAGCUUGUGCAUGGAAUUCUAACAAGUUAUGCAUAAUUGAGCUUAAAACAUCACCUCUUCGAAAAUGCCACUUGAAAAAUUGAGACAUAGGCAUGUGGGUAAUGGUUAGAAAGGUACUGACAUAAGGAAAAAAUGUUAUUUUGGACCAAAACUCAUUUGGAGUGUGGAAAUUUAUGAAAACAGGCCAUGAAGUUCAUAGUGCAAAACAUGCCUUUGAGAAUUUUGCCAAAUUGGUCCAACUUUAAGCCCUUCUGUUUUGAUGAUGUAUGCCUCAAAUGGAAUAACUUCCAACAUCAAAGUUGUAGGUCUUCUAAAGACAAUCAAAAUGGACUUAAAGUUUUCAUCAUUUUGAUUUUUUAUGAAGAAGUUAUAGGCACUUGAAGUUGGACUUUUUUGCCUUUCAAUGCAUCUGGUCCAAAGUGACCUAUAAUGUUUAGCAUUAUCACAUGUGUUUUAUUUGAGAUUUUGAAAUUUUUUUCAACAUAACAUUUGAAUUAGACAUCGUAAGCGUUCCAAUGCAUUUGAUCCAACCUCAAAAUCAUAAAAAAUGAAUGGGUUAUGUUCUUGGGAAGUUGACCCAAAAUUAGGGUUUCAGUCAAAAUGACCUAUAAUGUCUUGGAAUGGGAGAUGACCUUCCAAGCUUCAAAUCAAUUUUUGAUGAACAUGAAAGUUGUUCAUAUUUUCCUUAAGAACAUUUUUUUUGACCCAAAAUUAGGGUUUCAGUCAAAAUGACCUAUAAUGUCUUGGAAUGGGAGAUGACCUUCCAAGCUUCAAAUCAAUUUUUGAUGAACAUGAAAGUUGUUCAUAUUUUCCUUAAGAACAUUUUUUCUCUGGGGAUCAUAUCCAUUUGACCAACCCAUAAAACGUUAGGUCUCAGUACAUUUCAAAAUAGUGAGAUGAAUUGAGUGAUCAACUUUCCAAGUCCAUAACUCACACCAUGAUGAAUUGAUAAUUGAGGGAACUCAAAUAAGUUCAAAUAUGCAUGAAAUGAUGAAUUAAAGAACUUCCCUUGAUUGUAUUUGAUCAUGGGCUGAGAUUGCUUCAUGGGCAAGGCACAUUUGAUACACAGAUGAAUUAGGGUUUCCUUGGGAGACAAACCUCAAACCCUUUGACUUGCUUUGAUCAAAAUGAUGGAUUGAGAUACUUGGGAGGCAUAUUUGAUGGAUGAGAGCUUUGGGAACCAUUACCAUGCUUGUUUUCAUCUUCUCUUGACCAUAUCUUUGCACAAAGGACCUCCUUGAAGCUCUUGACCUUGUGAUUGUGUUUUCAUCUUCUCUUGACCAUAUCUUUGCACAAAGGACCUCCUUGAAGCUCUUGACCUUGUGAUUGCUCAAGUUACAAACAAAAGAUGUUAGUGACAUAUUUUUGUGCUUUUGGUUAGUGAAUAAAAAUGAGAAGAGAAAUAAUAUACAAUUCAAGCAUACUUGGUAAUCUCAAACCACUCACAAGAGGUCCCACCCAUAGGCAAGGGGAACCAAGAUGCUUAUGAUCCUUGAGGCUUUGCAAAUGCAAUAUUAUGAGGCCAUGAGGGAUCUUAGGGACAAAAUUGGGGUCUUACACUGACGUCAAGUUUUUCCAUAGCUUGAUGGUCAUGAAUUUACCGCUACAGCAUGGUCACCAAACUUGGCUAGGCGUGCAUGUCUAUCACUCAAAUACUACGCAUCCUUGAGGAGAUUGAGUAGCAACGUGUGAUUAGGCCCAUGCAUAAGACUUUGCAGAAACAUUUAUUUCUGAUCAAGGAGGGCUUCGAGAUGACGGUUGUGUCGUUCCCAAUGAGAGACCUCUUGGUUAAGCUGAUUAAUAAUUUCUUGACUCUGUUGUUCUUGACUUUUCAACCCUCUAAUUUCUUCAAAAGAUUUAUCAAGAUCACAUUGACAUCGAGAGAGAGAGAGAGAGAGAGAGUCUCUCUCUCUCUUUCUCUCUCUCUCUCUCUCUCUGAGAGAGAGAGGGAGAGAGAGAGAGGCUUCAAGUUUUUUAGCACAACUUUGUUCUUUCUUCAAUUUCUCCUUGCAAUCCUUCAAUUGGUCUUGAAAUUAUUCGAGUUGAGCCUUGUAUCUUUCUUCUAUCUCUUUGCGAUAUUUCAAAUUUUGGUUCCAAAUAGUAACCGUCUUGGUAGAGAGACCAACACGGGUCUCCUUCAGAGCAUCAUCAAACUUCCUUCAUUUGUUAUGUUCCACUUAAGCAUCUUCAACCGCUUUGAGCAUGCGCUCCCUCUUCUGGUUGAGGUUAAUCUUCAAGUUUUCUUUCUCUUGUGUUAGCUUACUGAGAUCAAAUUGAAAAUCAUCAUUCUCCUUUUCUAACAACUUGAUAGUCUCUUUUAGAUUGUCAACUUCAGAGAUAGAAACAACAUAUGACCUAGGAGGCUUGAGACUCAUAUAAGGUUCCCAAGGAUAUGGUAGCUUGACAAUUUGGACUCUAACUUUAACCCAAUCUUUAUAUGGUCCCGAUGCAAUGCAAUUUUAUUUUCAAAGUUCCUUUUUCCCAAUAUGAUGGACUUUUCCCCAUGCACGACGUACUCUCUUUAGAAACUCAUAAUCAUCAACCCCUUUAGCUAUCAUAUAUUCUUCCAACUGUUUUUCUCCAUGCUUCUCUUUCAAUGAAUAACCAAGUUGACAUAGCAAAAGAACAAGACUGUAGUUGAUCAAUCCACCCCUAGCACCAAUAAGAGGCACAUUAUGAAAAUCACCACAACUAAAUAUGGGUUAACCCCAUCAUAGUCAUGACUAUACCAUACUAUGUCUUCGGUAUUCAGAGGAAUCAACCUUUAGGACCACUUUAACAUUUCCACAUCAUUGUAAAAAGGUCAUUUCCUUGGUAAAUGAGUCAAGUGCCACUUGUAAAGCAAAGGAACACAUCAAUUAGUCGUUUCACCCUUCUUAUUUAUCCAAUGGAAAGAGAAAUGGACAUCACCUAGAAGCGUGGGAACCAUAUUCUUGGUCAAGAAGAUAUUGAUAGAAACUUUAUCAAUGAAACCUUCAAUGUUCGGGAAAAGUACCAAACCAUAUAUGAGGAGAGAAAAUUUGGCAUAAAAAGCAUCCCAGGUUCCACUAUAUGCAAAUAGAGCGGCAUUUUCAAUGAGGAACUUUGAAGGAAACCCUAUGGUGUUACCUUUGGUAUAAAUAUUGGAGUCAACUACUUCCCUCUUGAGAUGAAGAGCUUGUGAAAUCGUUGGAGACUCUGGAAAACCAUAUGUACUCACUAAGGAGCCAAAACAAAAUCUUGGAAAGUAAAGCAAUGCAGAAUGCGAUCAUAGAACUGAUCAAAAGUAAGAAUCAACCUGGUGUCUUCCUUGGUUAAUAGAAUAUCCAACAAGUUGCAUAAGUCUUCUUAAAGGCAUCCAUGUGAUCAUAAAUCAAAAGAUCUCUAAGCUUCUUCAACUCAUCCAGACUAAGACUCCCUGGGUUUGUAUUGGUAAGUAUUUCUUCUUUCAGAUUUCUCCAUAAUUGAAUAAUCUACUAUGAAUGAUAGAUUAAGGAUUCCCUGAAAAUAUGCACAUGCUAAAAAAAUCAUGUGAAUAAAAUGAAAGUAUGUAUGUAACACCCAUUGAUUCAAAGAUUCAAAAUAUCCUGGAUAAUUUGUAUAUAUUGCUCGAAGUAGGUUCAAACGUUCGACGUAAACAUGACGAUGAAGGUAUGUAUGGUUUUGGUUUCCUGCAAAAACCCAAUAUCCCCUCACAAGUAGGUACUAGUCUUUAAAGAAGGGGGUCCCUAAAAAGGUCCCUAGAGUCAUGGACCCAUUUUGAGAUACAACUGUCUGGGACGAAUGAGUCGUUGAAUAGUAAUGCUCCCAAAAGGAUUUACUCUAGGUGUGACGUCUCAUGUUGACCCUGAUCGAGGCAUCACGCCAAGUAGGUCAACAUUACUAUUGCCACAUACUAUCCUGUUUGUAUACUCAAGCUUGGGAAUAUAUAGAGAAUAUACAAAUAUCUAACAUAUCAUGAAUAUUUAAAGCAAUAAAGAACGCAAUAAACAAAAUAAUGAUAAAGCAAGUAAAACAGUAAAGAUAAACACCCAAACAAACAAGGAAACAAAUAAAACUAGGCUUGGCUUUCUUAUGGACUCCCUAGCAGAGUCGUUAAUUCUCGCGCCGCAAAAAAUGCUUAAAUGCAUCGCAUGCUCGAAGAUAUAAUAGAUUUGCCACCGAACUUUAUUUAUUCCCGAAGGAAAAGGAAAAUAUUGAUAAAACCCAAUGGGAAGAGAAACGAGUAAUGGAGUCGGUUAUGCAAGGGGAAUGUAUUAGCACCCCUCACAUCCAUUGUACUCAACAAGAACCAUUUUGAUUGUUCUUUGCAUGAAUGGGUGUUAUUAUCUAAAGGUUACUUGUGAAAUGCUAAAAGGGAGAAAAAUAAGUUUAUUAAUUAGUGUGCUCGUUGUGGAUUCGAACCCCCGUGCCUACGUAUUCUCAUAGUGCAAUGAGAAAAUUAGAGCUCCGUAGUUCAUGGUAGAAAGUACAUAUGUGUUGGUUAAUUUUAGGGAAUCGUUAUAAUCGUAUCCUAGAAGUGUGUAGACGUUAGCUGAUUUUAAUCCUUGUUCGGAUGCUGUAAGCUUUUAGUCUGACUACUAAGGAACAAAUUAUAAUUGUUCUUUUAUGAAAAGAAAAAAAAUGUUUUGAAAAGGUUUGUGUGACAAAAGAAAAUAAAGAGUUGAUUGAACUAAAUUAAAUGAAUUGCUUAAAUUGUAAAGGAGUUUGGAGUGUAAUAAGAAGAGUAGGAAAAUGAGGAAAGUGUUGUAUGGAUGUAUAAAGAAGUUGUUUGUGUGUGGCGAAAGUAUUAUUUAGACCAUAGGUUAUGUCGUUUGAAUCCAUAUGGUAGGUGUGUAUGAACCAAAGAAUGUGUGGCAUUAACCAAUAAAUGGUGUGUCCAAUGUAAGGUUGUAGGAUUUUGCUUAGAUCCAAGGAUGAAGACCUACAAAAAAGGGGGUUCCCAGAGCAUGAAGCUUCACAGGGAAAUGCAUGAAUUUUUUCCAGAGCAUGAGGCUCCCCAGGGAAAUGUAUGAAGGCUGUCAGAGCAUGAGGCUCUACAGGGAAGUGCAUAAGAGUUUCCAGAGUAUGAGGCUCCAUAGGGAAAAUAGAAAAGAAAAGGGUUUGUCAAAGCAUGAGGCUCCACAUGGCAAUGCAGGAAAGGUUUUGUUUCAGAGAUGGGUGUUUGAUCAUGAGGUGCUUAACCCAAAGAAUGUAUAGAAGUCCAAAGAAUGUAGUGUUUGGUCUAAAUGGAAGUGCAUUGUUGGUGUUGAUUGUUAUAGUGUUUGGAUGUUGUCUAUGGAGAAGAAGACUUGGCAGUUAUUCUAUUUGAAUUGCACUAAAGUCUAUGAAAAGAGGAGAAUACUUUGAAUAACUAGGGCCUACACCCCAUACCCAAAGAUACUCAGAACAAGGAUAUGAAUAAUCACGCUCAUCCUUCUCUAUUGCUUAAGGCUCGUGGUGUACAAUUCACAUCAUGAUUGAAAAGUGUUGAAGAUGAAUCUUUUUGUUGUGCUUGAAUGUCUAGAGUCUUCAUCCAAUGAAUAAUUCCUCUCAUCCUUCUCUAUUGUAUGAUGUCCUAAACUUAUGUUUGAUUUGGGAUCCAAUGUGAUGCAAGUUCAGAGACCUGAUCCUAUCAAGUGAUCAAGGAACUUAUGAUCACCUGACUGGAUAGGGGGAUCAGAUAAAAUGUGAAGUGACUAACUGAUAAAAAUGACUUUGAUCGAUCAAUCAGGGAAUGGAUCAUGAUAUGAAAGCACAUGGAUUUUAUUUAGAAAAGUAAAAUCAUGAAGGAAAUUAAAGUAGUAACAUUCAUAUUAAUUUCUAAAAAGAAUUAACUAAAAUUAAAUGCUAAUAAAAAAGUGUAAUAUUAACAUAGACAUUAAUUUCUAAAAAUCUAAAUAUUAACAUGCAUUUUGAUUUUUAUAAUCUAAUUGAAAAUUAAUUCUAAACUAAACUUAAACAUGCAUUAACUAUUUUUGUUUCUAGUUUCGAGUAUUUUUCAUGUCAAAAUGGAACGUAUUAAAAAAUGUUAAAAGAACUAAAAUGAACUAAAAACUAUUAAAAUAUAUUAACAUGCAUUAAAGUGUAGAAAGAAAAAUUAAAAUGAAUUAAAAUCGAUUAUCAUGAAAAUUACUACCACAGAGGUGUGUAUACAAACCAGAAAGGAGUGUGGCCUAAAAACAGGGGUGUUGGGCCUAAUAGAUUGAGGCCAAAUGCAAAGUGUAAUUGUUGUGUUCAGCAGGAAGGUAUGUAGAGAAAAUAAUGGUGUAAAUGACAAAAUAACGGGCUUAAUGCCCUAGGCCCAACCGAAUUUGCUAUGGAGAAGAAAAAAAA
rnacentral:lncRNA from 1 species